rnacentral:lncRNA from 1 species
CACUUAUUUUGGAUCGGUCAGAGGUAGUGGUUAUUAGCAAAUUAGACUAAUGACUCCUUAGAUAGCAAAACUGACAUCAUGGGCCCACCAAUCAGGUAGCCAAGCUCAUGGUAUAGAAAAAGGUUAAAAAAAACACAAAAUUAUAAAUGUUCUCCUGAAUUCAAUGUUUGAAUUUCAGCCAAACUGAGCAAUUUUGUUUUGGAAAAGCAAUUUUUUAGUUUGUAGGUUAAAAUUUUGGUUCAAAAUUAAAACUUUCCAGAAAAAUUGAAUUCUAGAAAAUCGUAAAUGUUCUCCUGACUGGAUUACUUCAAUUUAAGCCAAAACUGAAUAGUACCUGAGGAAGAAAUGACUUCUAAAGUUUGUAGGCUCAAAUGUCAGCUGAAAAUGUAAACUUCCAGAUGAACUGAAAGAAAUCUUCAAAAUCAUGCUGACUGGACUGUUUCAAUUUCAGUACUAAGCAUCAUUUGAGGGGGAAAAUGAUUUCUGAAGUUUGUAGGUCUACAUUUUGUUGCUCACAAUACUUGGUGCAAUUUGUUACUCCCUCCCCGUCCCAUAUUAAGUGUCACAAUUUUGUCUAGAUACGCAUGUAUCCAGACGCUUUUUAGUGUGUAGGUACAUGCGUAUCUAGACAAAGUUGCGAUACUAACUAUGGGACGGAGGGAGUACUAGUUAUCCCAAGAGCAUAGUUUUUAAUACGUCGUUAUCUCGUCGCCAUAACGACGAUACAACGUCGUGGCGCCCCUGGCUGCCGUCGCGUCGACCCACGCGAUAGAAUUUGCCUGUGGCGUCGAUAUGGCGUCCUGUGGCGUCGCGAUGUCGUCCUGUGGACGAUUCAACCCUGUGACAGUUAAGAUGCGACGCCACACAAGCCGAUAAGCACAGCAGCAGGCACGCGCGGGAGAAAUAGCCUGUGGCGUCGAUUGGGAGAACAGUCCGCGCGGGAGGGAGUGAGGGAGGAAGAGAGAGGAGAGGGAAUUGGGUGAACCUGCAUCUCCCAGCCGCGGCGGUUCCAUCCCCCAUCGCCGGCGGCUCCAUCCCUCUGUGCUCUGCUCUGUUCUGCUCCUCUCCCUCCCACCCUCUUGUCGGGGACUGAUUAGGGACUGCAUGCUUGUUUCCUAAUGCAGUCCAGCACUAUGGAAGGUCCAACUGAGCGGAUCCAAUUGCCAAUCCUAUUAAUUGCUUGCAGUAUAACGGAAGGUUACAGGACACAAGGCAAUCACUAAUUAUGAUCCCUGGAAUCACGGCCAGGCGCUAUACAAAUCAAGCAUCGAUUCAUAUCCUGCAGUUAAGAUGCUAACUAGUAGUAUCAAUCAUGUUUUUCUUUUUGCGGGUAAACCUAUCAAUCAUGGUUAGUUACCAUGUUUACACCCGUCCUCCUCUCCCUCCUACCUAUGUUUGUGGAUGACUUUAUUAGUGAUGCUGUCCCUAUGAUUGAUUCCCUUGAUUGCUCAACAAUUUCAAGGUAUGUAUCUCUACUCAAUAGCUAAUAUAUUUAGCUGAUAUAGUAGGUCUGAUAGCUGCUAGCAUAUUUCUGUGAAGUCGCUACGCCACACGCCACAAGCGUUGUAAAGUUGUGAGGGGGGUGGGUCGCCACAACUCGCCACGCCGUAUUCAAAACUAUGCCCAAGAGUUGUAGUUUUGUGGAAACAAGUCCAAAAUGUGCACCAAAGUGUUACAAGUCCCCGGAAGUCGUAGUUUUGUACAAUUUACUCUUUAAAGAUACCCUAGGAAUGAUAUGUCUAGCAAAUGAUUUUUUUGUAGAAACACUUCACUAAGAGAAUUUAAUCUCAACAAACAAGGGAAUAACAAGGUACAUGUGUGUGUCCUGUGCAUUUACAUAAAAUCACAUUAUCAACUAUUUUGGCUGUAUUCCCCGUAAAAACGAAAAUACAUGUCUAAUAGUACAUCGACCAUCCAUGACCAACAAUAUUUGUCCAUGUCUAAUACUCCCUCUGUUCAUAUUAACUGUCGCUACUUUGUCUAAAUACCCAUGUACCUACACACUAAAAUGCGUCUAGAUGCAUGCAUAUCUAGACAAAGUUGCGACACUUAAUAUGGGACUGUGGGAGUACUAGUUAGUAGCUUGUGUAAUGUUUAAUAUUUUUAAGGAAAGAUAUAUUUGCUCCAUCUAGUUUCCUCAGUUAUAAAGUAGAGCAUACACUUCAUUAGUGUUCAGCACAGAUUAAAUAAAAUACACAAACUAUUUUACCUCUUCAGCAAAUUUAAUCAAUAUUGUUGUCCUGGGCCUCUGCUGGCCUUCAAUUGGCACAAAAUGCGCCGUAACUACCGCAGGAAAGCCAGCAUUAUCCAAUACACCCUAUAAUAAUUUCAAUGCAAUCUUCAAAUAUUGUUCAUCUAAGAAGAUAUGGUUGAAUAGAUAUUUGAGCUGGAAUUCCCACCCUUACAAUCCCUGCGACAAAAGCUCCACAAUUGAAUGCCCCCAUAUCUUUUGGCACAGAAAUGAACCUGGUCAAGCAAAAAGGACGCAAGGUUUUAGAUUGUAGCAGAAGGAAAAUAUUAUUAACUUCAAAAGAGUUCAUCAAACCGGUUGACGAGAAGCUCCUUUUCACUAAUCAUAUAUUCAUCCUCAUGUUCUGUUCCUUUCUCAAGUGAGUCAGCCACCUGGAAACAAUAAGAAAGCAAUUACUGCAGUAGGCAAGAAAACAAGUGCACUCAGUACAGCGAUCAGAAUAGAACCAAACAAGGCUCCAGCAUUUGAUUCCUCAAAUUUGAGAUUGUAUAGCUACGUAUAGAAAUGAUGUUACUAUAUCAGUACAGAGAUGUGAAAUCUUUUCUCUAACUAACUCUGCAUUUGGCACUAGCAACCAAAUUGAAACAUGGACAAAAAGUCUAUUCGAACCACUAAGCAUCUGUUAUCUAAAUGUGGGGUUAUUUCAUUUCGCAAACACAAGUUAGAAACCAAAUAAUAUUUUUCAGGUGUGCCUGGCAAGGCAGGUAGAAAACAUGAAAAAACCUGGCAGCUCUCAGGCUUUCCUUUGCAUCAGGUAGGAUACUCGGGUCAGCAACCAAACGGCCCAACAAUAUUUUGACAGCACAAGUGCACAACAAAGAAUGCACACAAGGAAUGGAAAAGCUAAAUGCACAGAUUACCUUUCCACCCUACAAUUAUGGUAAUCACUAGAGCAUUUUGGGACAGAGUAGGAAUAGAAAAGAUUGAUAGGCAGAACAGAUUACCUUUCCAAACAAUACUUUCCAUACAGUGCUGUGAAUGAAUGAUAAAAUCCCCAGCAAUCGAGUCUCUCGUCUAUUCCCCUGGAUUAAUUAUUUCUAUUGACAUGACUAUCUCAACAUGAUAAAAAUUAGUAAAGCAUAUAGAGUAACUAAACAAGGAUGUUAAUGCUCUCAAUCUGGAGAUCACAUGAGACCCUAACGGAACUGAUGGCCUAUGAAUAUUCAUAUUUACAAAGUAAAUUAAAAAAGGAAAAGAUGACAACUCUGUUGUUAUUAUUCAAUUAGUUCAGAUAUUUUGUUUACCAUUUCGGAUGGAAAUCUUUAUCCAAUUUUUUCCCAACAUCUCUAUCCAUAUUUUUCUUUGUUUCAUUAUUAUGCAUACUAUCCAACAAAAUUCAAAAUUAACACCAUAAAGGUGUCAAUCAGAUGUACAUUGUAUAUUUGUAUGUUUUAUCAUAUCAGGAGUUCCAGAAUAUCCCACCUGUUACCACCCCUAUUAACCAAAGUUAUAUUAAAUUAAAAUAGACUCAUUUUGGUAUGCCAAAGACAGCGUACAACCAGUAAAUUUGAUAUAGAAAAAGUUAUGCAAUUAAAAGAAGACAACCAUAGGAUGCCACUAGAAACAAAGAAGCAAGGAAGUUUUGACUACUUCAUUCAAAUUUUCAAAAUGUUAAGUAAUAUGUACCAAGACAGAUACUGUACUACAGAGCAAUAAUUCAGACAAACAAAAUCACGUAAUAAGAAAAGAGGUAUGCAUCGAACCUUCUCCCUGUGACAUAGAAGUUCGAGAACUCUUGCACCAACAGCAUAACCAGCAUCCUCCAACCUUUGUAUAAGUACAAAUAUAAGAGAGACAGAUGGCAUGCUAAGUAUACAGGAAUACAAAUACAAUAGCACAUGAAAAAUGGUGACAUAAUUUAAUGACAACCUGGUCCAAUGUCAUUACAUGAUUUACCACAACUAAGACAGAGGUCUACAUGCCCCAAGUUAAGAGAGAGUGUCUAAUUGUAAGAUAACCAAGAUUUCGUUCACCAGAUAGAGACAUGAACAAAUAAGUUUGUUGAAGACGUGAAAAUUGACGAGCCAAAGAUUCCAGUUGUGUCAUGAGGCAACAUCUCAAUAUGUGAACAAGUAAUUUAAAGCCUUUACACUAAAUGAAAUUUGCGGCGAUUUAAGCCAUUAGCACAGGAAGUGUCAUUGCACCUGAAACUUUCUGUGAUCUGAAUAUCAAAGAUUAUCAUGUAGAGACUUACAAGGCUGUAGCAGGUACCAACCAAGAAAAGAAAAAAUGAUAAGAUGUGUAUAUAAGAAAUAGAACUAAUAGUACAGACGCAAUUCACUACUAAAAGAGCAUUCCAGAGAACAGUAAAAAACUAACUGUAUGGAUCUAGGUAUCUACAUUACAGGUGCAUAAACAAUACGAACUGAUGUGUGUAAGAAAUAGGAUUUACCUUCGUUCCAGCUCAGCAAUGUUGUCAACUUGUGUCUGGUUGUAUUGAACCAACUCCGAGAACAAGAAUGCAAACGCACUCAAACUGACCUAUGAAUACAGAGAACAUUUAUCAAGAAAACAAAAUAGGCAAGCAAAUGGAUGUUUUCUUUCUUGAUUGCUCCUGUAUCCUCCUCCAGACAUAAAGAAACUGAACACUGCCACUAGACAAUCAAAGCAAAUGAUUCCACUGAACCAAAUGGGGAUGCUUUGGAUCAAUGCCAACAAGCUACCGUUCCUUAGUUGGGUAGUUCUGCUUCCCUACCGUCACAGAGUUCUGUACCAAGCUACGUAACCAUCACGGACAAAAAAUAUAGCACGGAUCGACGCCGUGACUGUGCAGAUCUGAAGGGGUUUCGAUGUGUGGAAGACCCAUACCUCCUGUCUGCCACGGCUGAGGGGCUUGUCGAGAACGUUGGCGUACUGCUUCGCCUUCCCCACGCCGAUCAUCUUGCCCACGGGCGGAGGACCCGGAAGGGCAAGGUAGAGCGGCCGCCCUACCUUGAUUUCUUCCUCAGUUGCGAAUUGGGGAAGAUUAAGGAGAUGAAACGGGGAGCUAACGGGCGGAAUCCGUUCGGGGUGUGAUGGAAGGAGAAGCGGUCUGAAGCGAGAUGAUCGAAGGGAAGAUCAACCGGCGGUGGCGGCGCUCGCGCGAGGAGGAAGACGAGCGAGGGUGCUGGGGGUGCUCGGCAGCAAGAUGGCAAGGAGGACGGGUGCGGCUCACGAAGGAAAAGAAGAAAAGAGAGUAAUUUACACUAAUGAUCUCCGUAAUUGGUCAGUGGGUUCAUUUUAGUUCUGGUCCAUUCAAAUUGCUACUGCCUCCAUUCCGCAAAACAACUUGUUUUCUCUUGGCUCUCACACCAGACCAAACAAUUGACCAAGUGCAUAAAUUUAUGUGACGUGUUUUGUUUAAUGUAGGGUGUAGUGAUUUGUACCUAAAACUUGAUUUGUCGACUCGAUUUUGCUUGACCAUCACGUAGAGCGGCAGGAAGCCACUGCGACAUCUUUAGGCAUGCGGAAUGCGUUUUUUUUUAUGCAAACACCCCUUCCCCCUCCCCUCGCAUCUUUUCCUUUUUCAUCUCGACAUCUUGCCUCUGUUCCCAUCGAGAGACGUAGAUAGGCGACGACAAGUUGAUGAGGACAUUCCAACUAAUGAUACAACCACAACUCCUACAACACCUACACCUCAAGUACCGAAGCUACACGGACCAAUUACUAAAACUCGUGCACGACAACUAAAUUAUAAGGUAAUUUCGUUUCUCGGUACUUCAUUUAAUAUUAAUGAGAACAUGUCGCUGCCUAAGAUGGGUUCUUUUAUAUGUUUUAAAUGAAAGACCUAACUUGGACCUCAAGGAUCAGCGCUGGACAGCAAAACAUGGAAGUGGCAACAAGGUGGCGGGAACUAGCUCAAGUGAUGAUUUCAGAACAUUGAAACCGCCAUAACGAGAGAUGAGAAAAAGGCCGCAUCCUCUUCAUCAAUGGGAUUUCGACCAACUGGAGGAUUUCCCUUCCAAUGGGUAUCUAUGGGCCAAAGAUAAGGGUUAUAACCUUACUUUAUUGGACCUAAGGUCAUAUAAUAGGGUCCAGCCAAUUUUUAAAUGUUUUCGUUGUGUUUUAGGAGGAUUCCUAGGCUGUUUCGUAAUCCCUCAAGGGCCUGGCCGAAACCACCUUGUUCCCCUCCUAUUUAUACCCCACGAGCCCCCUCUAUGGAGUUUCGGGUUUUGAUUAGAUAAAGUUUAGCCUUUGCUACUUUCGUGUAAACACGUGUGUCGACUAAACCAUCUGUUUUACCGUCAUUAGAACUCCAACUUAUAUUGAGUAUUCAGAUUCAUGAACCUUUGUAUCUCCUAUUCGCAAUUUCAGAUUGCUUUUCAUCUUGUUCUUGCUUGUUCUUCGAUUGCUUGCAGGAACAAAGACCUUCGUGGUCAGGUUGAUCGUGCCCCCGUGGGAUUAAUAACCUUCUGGAGUUGGUGUAUCGAUCGCUAAGGCGCUGCCUCUUAGGUUGUAGUCGGAUCGGCAACGUCAUCUCCUACCAAAUCGAUAAUUAGGUAUCUCAUCGAAAGAUCGGGACAACCUCGAGGCUAUCACAAGGUCGUGGCGAUUGGGGUUUUCCCGUCACGAUGACAGAGAGGAUCGCCAGCGAAGACCAUGCCACAUUGAUGAUUUUGGUUAUUAUUAUUAUUCGGUUGAGUGAUGAAGGAGUUGGGACGUGGAAAAAGAGAAAGAAGGGGAUGAAUUGGGCCUACCGUCGGUGUUUCGAUCUGACAAUAUUGAGUACCAGAUGGUCUGCUAAUAAAAGAACUAGAUGGUUGCACACGACACAAAAAGCGUGUGCGGUUCCCUCAUCUUCAAGGCGAUUCGGUUGGAUGUCGUGAGAGCCAAUGCAGCCACCCAUCUGCUUCCUCCCUGCCUGCACGUUGUCUUUCUAGUGGAUCAAGACUCAAGAGGAGGGUGUUGAAGGCAUCAGAGUCUGCUGACUUGACUCAAGAGGAGGGUGUUGAAGGCAUCAGAGUCUGCUGACUUGCCGAUGGCAUCCAUGUUGCCAAAUCUCUCGGUGCCACCAUCCUAUCUACACCCAUCAUGUAGACCACACACGUGUCCACUCUCACCCCCGACCUGAAAAAUCAGAGUAAAUUGCACAUAACCACCACAUUUGAGACAGUUGUAACGAAAACCACUAGUUUUGUUAAUUUUUGCGCACAACCAUCACCAUUUAAUGAACUUGUUGCACAUACCACUGGUUCUGUCGUUUCAGACGCAUAAGAUCAUUUCUGACCGUUCGGCCCACAUGUCAUGUUGACCAGUCGGUGCGGGCGUUAGCGCUCCGUUAGUACUUCUGUUCCACCUCCGAGCGCUCCUCUUUUCCUUAUUCUCUUCCUGCUUCUCCUUCCCCCGAAGCUCUUCUCCCUCUGUUUUCUUACCCACCCCGAGCUAUGAGCUCCGGCGCGCUCUCUAGCUCUCUCCCCGGACAGCCCCUGCUGCAGCGCUGCGCCUAGAGCUCUGCAGCGCCUCCGCGAAGCCGCUCCACCACUCUAGACGGCUGGACCCUGCGCGUGACCCGAGCAGCCGCCGAGCGCUUGUCUUCCUUGCGUCCGGCGAAAGCGUCUCCGCGCUUGGAUCUCCUCUUCCUGCGCCUCCCCGACAUCGAUGCGAAGCUCCUCGGCUCUGCAAGCCCGCAUCAAUAUCGUGCUGGAGCUUCCCCGUUUCGAUUCUCACCAGCGCCGGAUUCCUUCUCUGGCUGCCGCACGUCGUCGUCGCUGGACGCCUCCGGCAGCGGAUCCGACUGUUGCUCCCUCCUUCCGCCUCUACGUGUCAGCGCGCACGCGCAAGUCGGGAAGCAGGGGCGGCUCCAUUCCACGGCGGUGUGCUGGUAGCCACAGAGUGGGUUGGUGAAGAACUCCAGGAUGGAGAGGAACUCAUCGUCGGAGACGAAGACCUUGGCGCUGCGAUCGAGAUGGCAGAAGCGCUCAUACAGUGCCACGCUCAACUGCUGCGAGACUAGAACAAAAGGAGCAAACAUCAAAAUUGUCGACUAAUCGAUUAGAACUCCGAUCGAUCACGAACUAGAGCAGCCAGACAAAUUGAACCGUGAGAAUGAGAACACCGAAAGAAGGAAUUCGAGAUUGUAUUGUCUCCUCACGUACAUAGGUAGCUGCAGUGCUCCUGCACCUCCUCGGCUCCUCGAUGUCGUACUGCGUCAGCACCGACGACGCGUUCCCCCUGGCCGAAUCAAAUCAAAUCGAUGAUUCCCUUCUCCCAUCUCGGCGGAGGGAGACUAACUUGGCGUGCUAUGAAGUGUUGGCAGAGAGAGGGAGGGGAUCGCGAGGUAUGUAUGCAUCUAGGAAUUAUCCAGUCUCGAGCCUGACUGUGCCGAGCGCAGAGGAAGCCCGAUGGCGAGGUUGGCGAUCGUUGGCGAAGCAAGGGCGGUGCGCGCGGAGCGGGGCGCUCCCGAUGGCGGAGCAGGGGCUGCACGCGGGGAGGCUUGGGUGGCGCGCACAGCCGCGGGCAGCUGCGGCGGCAGCGCGAAGCGGGGGGCUACAGGGAGGGCGCGCGGUGGCGGAGUAGCGACGGAGGUAGUGCGGAGCCAGGCAACGCAGUGGGAGAGGAGAAAGGCUCGGACAGACCUGGCUAACGGACGGCGCAACGCCGGCUUGGCCCGGUCAACCUGACAUGUGGACCUGGUCGGUCAGAAACGCGCUUAUACGCCGUUAUCGUCUGAAUCAGUGCUAUGUGCAACAACUUCACUGAAUUGCGGUGGUUCUGCGCGAAAAUUAGCAAAACCGGUGGUUUUCGUAAUAAGUCACUGAAAUGUGGUGGUUCUGUGCAAUUUACUCGAAAAAACAAGUAAACCCACGCCUUCCUCCUCCCUCGCCGUCGCCGGCUCGAACCGCUAGGCAAAGCAAUUUUUGAUGAAUGUUUGUGUUGUAAUUGCCGUCAUUGUUGGGUCCUGCCUAGUAAGCCGGUUUGUGGCGUGUGUCCCAACAGACACGCAGACCUGAGCAGCGGCCAAGCGGUUCCUGGCGGCAGCGGCGACCAACGCUUGCAACAUCUGCAGCGGCGCCUGGCUGCUCCACGCGACCGCUGCCUUGGCCAGAUGGUGGCGUGGCUUCCCAGCGGCGGCGCGGGCCAGAUCGUGGCGGCCCUUCUCGGGCGGCCGUGCGGUCCUUGGCCAUGUUUGUCACAGCGGUAGGCUGCUCUAGCCACGCGGUGGUGGCAGCGGGGCUGGUUCACCGCAUCUGCUGUUCACCACCAGCACCAAAUUUGUUUGUCGGUUUCGACAAAGUCGAUGUGCCCGUGGUGCGGGUUUUGGUACGUGGAGAAAUCUUUGGUUGGCUUGCCCGACCAUGACAGUGGUGACGUCGUUGGAUAUCCCUCUCCGUCCAUGAGGCGUUGUCGAGGUACUCCUGCACCACCCCCGUUCUAGGUUCCCGGGUGAAAACCCUAAGUCCUCGGGCGGGGCGGCGGUGGGGCUGGCGCUGGCGGGGUCGCUCUCCCCCUUGGGGGCGUCGUUGGGGGAACUCUAGAUCUGCACGUGAGGGGAUCUUGGUUGGCACUGGAAUUUGUUGGUCUGGCUUAGGUUUGUGUCGUAGUUACCAGGCCCGGCAAUUUCAAUGCAUCGUUCGCUGUCCUGAAGAUUGGUUGGUGGAAGACGAUGGCGGCUGAUUAUGAAGCAUGAGCAUACAGCUGAUGCUGCGAAUUAGCUUGAUCGGUGUGCCUUCGUGGCCUCCGGAUUUAGAUGUUGGGCGGUGGUGUGCGAUGAGGGCAUAUGGCCAUGAUAUUGGCCACACCUUUCAUCAGGAUAGUAGGUAUAACUUGGUGGCUUUAGAUUGUUUUGACAGAUGUAUUCGUUUUGUUAGUCUUGUUAAGUAAAUCAAUAAAAAAAAGUGUGCAUCAUUCUGAUGCAGGGGUGUCAACCUCCUUUUGGAAAAGAAAAUGUAUUUACAUACGAGGUACUAAGUAUUGAAAGAGGUACUCGUCUUGUUUUGAUAGUUGUUCGUACUGUGAUUUGAGUACCAUCAUGUACUCUUGUUAGUACCGUUGGGUACAUUGAUAAGCGAGCAAUGUACUAUCAUUUGUUGUACAUGUACCGUGACUCACUAAAAUAUAUGCCGAUGAGUACAAUAUGUGAAUUUUCAAAAUUUAGUGGGGCGCGGGAGGGAAGCAACUAAGAAAGAGAUAAGAGCAAAAGUGUGGCCAGGAUGGUGGGGGUAGAUACCUGUGGGGAUACCGCCUCGGCUUUACAUCCAUGUUGUCAUUGUUGUUGUACUUGUGUGUUCUCAUAAGGGCAUCUUCAAGGGAAACCGUAAAUCUUUUCCAUUUGUCCAAAUCUGUCCAUAUGGGGGUCCAAAAGUAAAAUAGACAACGUAAUGGGAACGACCAUGUGUCCAAAAGUGGGCCAUAGUUCCCAUUUCUUUCCCAAAUUUGGGAAGAGCACGGGGACUUCCCAUUUGUGCAAAACUCAUCCAAACCUUGUCCGUUGUCUAUUUGACCCACAUGUUAAAGACUCAUGAAGAGAUAAAUGAGGAUUACCAUUGGACAACUUAAUAUUUUUUCACACCCCAUUUGUCCAAAGAUCCCUCAAAUGAACAAAAGGGGCGGGGGGGCAAAUGAGGGACGUUGUAUCGGUGUUGUAUCUCAUUCAUUCGAGUAGACUUCGGCGGCAAUGAGAGCGUUGUCGUCGAUAAUCACAGCAACAGAUUCUUAUUUUCAUAUCUCAGUUUUAGAAGUAAAAUCAUAGCAAUUGAUAUCACAGCCUUUAUCGUCAAAUACACCUAACAUCAAAUACACCUAACAGAUUCUUAUUUUCAUAUCUCAAACGGUAUGUCAUUAUACUGGAGUUCACAGAAAAGAUAACUUGUAAAUUCUUCAUACACAGGAAGACAGGCCGUACUCACCAAGCAUAAAUUGUCUAAACUGUUUGCAUCGCAUCUACAGCUGUACACACAAUCACAAGGAACUUGGGAACUCACUGAUCAUGUGCUACUCAAUCCACUCCGAUGAUCGAUUUCAAGAACUGGACUUCUGCAUUGAGCUCUGGCAGGCGGCCAUUGGUAUCCCACGAGCCGAGAGGAGGCUCCACGCCCACGAACAUGUAAAGCCCUGCCAGCUCCCCUUCCAGGGUUGGACAAGGCACAGCUCCGUACCCAGUUAUUGUUCUUAUGGUGUCAAGCUGUUCCCUUAACUGUUCUUCGGUGCAGUGAAUCUGUAUAUGCAAACAAUAAUAAUGUAUUGGUUGAGCAAAAAAAGCCAUGUACUGAUUUAGAAACAUUGCAAGAGUAUAAAUCACGCUAGAUAUACAAAUCCAUGGCUAAGAAAUGCGUGUUCAACUAAGUAACUGUGCUAUAAAUUCCGAAACUUCAUGAUCAAAGAAGAAAAAAUGACCACUCAACUCAGCACAUUGCAUAUUUCAAGAAGUUACAGAUGAACAGGUUAGAAAUCUUUACUUACUCCUAAAUGAAAGAAGAGUUUACAGGGGACAAACGGUCAUCCAUCUGUUUCAAGCUUUACAGGUUCCAUUUAGCUCACUAAGGUUCCAGUAAAACAAGCCUUAGUUUCCGAGCAUGCACUUUGAAUUCAUGAAUUGUAGAGGCAAUUUGGUGUAAAUUUUCUAACUGUGCUACAACAUGCAGUUUGUGAUCUAUUAUUCAGCAAUCGUAGCAAUCUGCGACACAUCAUUACCCGCACGCGACGACAAUUUAGAAUUUUUGUUCAAGGCAUGAUGCAUAUCUGGAUACAAACCCUGAUACCUUUUUUGUAAUUAAAAUGCUUUUCAGGAAGGUAGUAUAGAACUUGUAACGGUUAUAUAUUAGUUUGUGACUAAAUUGUGCAGGUGGAAAUUUUAACAAACACUGCCAUAUGUUUUUUCCUUUUUUAGUCUACACUACGUAGAUAACAUCUUAUGUACAGCAGCGUCAUUUUUUACUUUGCUUACAUUAACCUCAGUGCACUAAAGAGGUUUGCUAUGUUAAAAGUACUACUUAUUAUUAUUUUCAUGUCCUGCUAUCACUUGCUGAACAAGUUUCAGGCAGUGUUCUUAUCAGUGUAGUUAUUAACGAGGUUUACAGACUUGGAGAGGUUUGCACCUUCGUAUCAUAAAUGUAACUUUGUUGUAUCAAAGAAAAAUUACCAUGUGACCAUGCCCCAUGUUCCCAAAAGAAUUUUUUACACAUAACCAGGCUUCGUAGCUAUUCUCUAAUUCAGUACUCCCUCCGUUCCUAAAUACUUGUCGCUGUUUUAGUGCAAAACUUCACUAAAACAGCAACAAGUAUUUAGGAACGGAGGGAGUAGUAUACUAUGAAAAACUCUAGACAUGCCAGCAACUGACCUCAUCUCCAGCAACACCGGUCUUGCCAAACCUUUCAUCCAUCACUGUGUAUUCCAUGCCAGCUUCCUCAUUAGCAUUGUCACUCAUUUCGUCGCCAAUGGCAGAGACAUAAGGUGUGUUCCUACUGGACAAUAUAUCCUCAACAUCAUGAGCACUCACAACAGUUGCCACUGAGACAAAAUGGCACUGUACAUUCUCUUUCCUAAGAUCACCAGAAUCCCUCACAAUGUCUUCGAUCAUACUAAUUUCUGUUUCGACCACCGCUGGCAACUCACAAGCCGUGAGGUAACUCAGGGGCACCACCUCACUGUUAGGCUCGGCAUCAGCAGCAAUGUUGGCUGGAACAUCAACUAUCCCAUCCGUAACAUCUCCCGGUGACUCACAAAGAGUACUCAGUGGCAGCAUCUCACUUUCAGGUGCUGCAAUAGCAAUGAUGUCGACUCGCAUAUCUAUGUCUUCUCCCGUAACAAGAUCUGCAGGUGACUCAAAAGACGCUAGUUUACUACUCUGUGGAAGAACCUCACCUUCAGGUGCCGCAGCAGCAACAAAUUUGACUUGCACAUCAUCAACAUCUUCUCCUUUUACAAGAUCAGCGGGCGAGCCACAAGCCGCCAGGUUACUAUGUGGAAGCACCACCUCAUUUUGAGGCAACACAGGAGUAAUCUCCACUUGCACAUCAACCACUUCGCCUUGUAAUGCAUCUUCAUCUUUUACCUUGCUCUGAAGCGCAUUGUCUUCACCAGGAAAGUCUCGUGGUGGCAUGUCCUCAGUAGACUUCUUUUCCUGCAUUGUUAUGGACUCCUUUUUAUCCGUGCUGGUUGAUAAAAGUAAAUCUUGGUCUAAGUUCUGUAGGGAGGAUUCACCAUCUCCAUCUCCCUGAACAACACUGUCGUUGUCACUUAGAAGUGGCACCAGCGAUUCAGAGGAACGGAGGCCCUGCAACAGCGUCUCUUUGGUAGUGCCAUCCUCUUUUUCAGCCUGAAUCUUCGAUUCAUAAUCGUAUGAUUCUUUUUCUGAUUCAUGUACACCAUCUGCUCCCUUUGUCUCAACCACAUUAACAAUACGCUCGUACUGCAACAGCGGUUUUCCUGAUUCAGAAACAUCAAAGCCACAAGGUACCACCUCCUUUCCAGCAGACUCCCUUUCCUCCACGGUUUUGUCACCACUGUUUGAUGCCAAUGAUCCAUCACCAGGUUCUUGAGCCGAAGAUUCACCUCGUACCUCUUCAGCGAACGCCGGCACCGACGCUUCAGAAACACCAGGAUCCUGUGACAGCAGCAGCGAAGGGUCCCUCUCGAUUUCCGCCUUGAUGAUUCCCUCCUCUGUCAAAUUCGAAUGUCUGAAUGCUGGUGGGGAGUCCUGGCCGUGCUCCUCAGAUGCAUCCAGGAAUUCUUCCUCCGCGUCCACUUCGUCGUCUUGUCGGUUGCAGGUGUGGUACGGCUCCUGCGUUGGGGAGGAGGAGAGGAGGGCGCUCAUGAGAUGGUUGGUGGCGGCGAGGCUGCCGAGGUAGGCGGCGAAGGGGACGGACAGCGCGAUGCCGGCGGCGGAGAGGACGAUUAGGGGCGGGGCGACGACCGGCGCGGCUGCCACGGAGGCGCCGGCGAUGGCGGCCUUCCGGGACAGGUCCCAUCCGCGCCGGACCAGCUCGCGACCCCAGCCGCUGUUGUCGUCGUUGUUGCCCCCUUCUCCGCCUGCAUAAGUGGGGGGUUCCGUGGGGUGGUUGUGGAUGCCGGCGGGUUCGACCUCGUCGAGGCCAUCCAUGCUCUCGUGGCCGGACUGUCGGGGUUAGACUGCCGGAGUGGUACUGUGGGAGGCGGCGGUUUUGGGUUGGGCACUUGGGCGGCGAUGAGGACGGGGUUUUGGUGGUGGAGACAGAUGAAGGCGACGCGUGUGCACCCACGUGUGUGAGGACGGACGAGCGCACGACGUGUUCUCGGCACGUGUUGGGCCACUUUCCAUUUUUCUUUCUCUUCUUCAGGUUUCGCUAUUUCAAGAAGAUACAGCCCGUUGAUUUUUGCUUGGAGAUUCGUCUUGUUUGCCUGAUUGAUUUUGUCUUAUACUCGCUCCAUUCCGAAAUAAGCGACUCCUACGAAAAUCUAUGUGGAUUUGUAUAGAUUUUUAUACAAAUCCACGUCACUUAUUUUAAAACGGAAGAAGUAUAUGGUUUGGAUUGUUUUCUGAAGAGGAGUGGUGAGCUGCAUUAUGUUUUCUCUUGUGAAGUUACUAGUUCUUGCACUCUAAUAUUUGUGGUCCGUGUAAAAAAAAGUUGCGGUCUGAUGCAUCGCCCUUCUUCAUGCUAUUCAGAUCCACGUUGUGAUAAGAGGUGGCUGAUCUUUUCAGAGAGCAACGUGGAUAACUUGUAUGGUUCUACAAAUCUUCCGGCUGUUCACUCGUCGCCGCAUGACGAACUUGCAACCCAAUGAAAAUUCGCAACACCACACACUUGCGCAGUAGUCCGCCGACCACAAGCGGUUUCGCAAUUUUCCAAUUCCUAGCUGAACGACAGAUUACGCUCGAAAUUUCAGUAGAUAACAAACACCCUAUCGAAACGAAUAUGGUGUAUAGGAUUCCAGAUGAAUGCUUCUCGCAAUCAACAAGAGUCUCGAAAAUAGCUAAAACGUGGUUUAACUCUAACCCUAGACGUACCCCUUGUAUAUAUAGGCGAGGGGCAGCCAAACACACAAACGGACUCAGACUCAAACUAGGUUCGACUCAAACACAUACAACCAAUCUGAAUAGGACUUGGCUUAAAUUAGGACUCACAGGUCCGGGCGCCCCUUAGACGUGUUGGACUCGUCGUAGGCUAUUUCGGUGCGCCUCAUAUUCGUACUCAACUUGUGGUGGGCAGAUCAUUCUUGUCGUUGGCUGUCCCUUGCACACAAGUUGCUCUUCUAGCAUUUUGUAUCCUCCAUUUUCAUUUGUGAUGCGCCUGCCUCCCUUUCCUCCCUCGCGCAUAUCUUGAUGUUGGAUAACAACACAUGAUGUUCCUCGCAUGCGGCCUCCUCUCCUUCAUGCUCCACGGUUGCCUCAGUCUCAAACCUGAUUACACAAAGAUAUAAAGACUUAGGCAGUAUAAAAUUCUCAUCAAUAUAAACAUUAGGUGCAGUUAGGAGUGAGUUCACCUGCUGUUCUAAUAACUUGGCACAUGCUUGUGUAAUUGGUCCAAUGCGUAGAUCAUUGGGUUUAUUUUGAACAGCAAGAUCAUCAUUAGGCAAAGAUGACAAAGGACUAGGGAUGCCCUCAUCAUCCUCCCCCUCUUCAAAAGGCGUCGACCUCGACGCUCCAAGGUCUUCUCCAUCAUACGGCGUCAAAUCAGCAACGUUGAACGAAUUACUCACGCCAAACUUAUCGGUUGGAAGAUCUAUCUUGUAAGCAUUAUCAUUGAUUGUACGGUCCAUUUCCUCGUGGCAGCAACUUUGACUUACGUUGUUCAGGAAAUCUAUCCUUGCGAAAAUGAACCCAUACCGGAUCGCCGGGCUGAAAGAGCACUUCUUUUCGCUUUGUAUUGAGACGUGCAGCAUUGUACUUGCCCUUCUUCUCUAUUGCUUCUUUAGUCUUCUCAUGUAUCUUCCGAACAAAAUCAACACGCUUGGACGCCUCCAUAUUCACACGCUCUUGGCUUGGAAGUGGCCGCAAAUCAAGUGGCGUAGUUGGUUUGAAACCAUAUACCACCUCAAACGGACAAAGCUGCGUUGAUGUACCGCCCUGUUAUAUGCAAAUUCCACAUGCGGCAAACACUCCUCCCAUGCAUGCAGGUUCUUCUUGAUCAUUGAUCGCAGCAACGUUGAAAGUGUGCGAUUCACCACCUCCGUUUGGCCAUCAGUUUGGGGAUGACAAAUAGUGCUGAACAGCAACUUCGUCCCUAGCUUUCCCCAAAGCGUAUCCCAAAAGUAUCUCAUGAACUUCACGUCACGAUUAGAAACAAUCGUCCUUAGUACUCCAUGCAAUCUCACGAUGUUCCUGAAAAACAGAUUAGCAAUAUGCGACGCAUCGUCGCUCUUGUGGCAGGAAUUAAAAUGCGCCAUCUUAGAAAAACGAUCCACUACCACAAAUAUAGAAUCAUGUCCUCUCCUGGUCGUAGGCAAUUCCAACACAAAAUCCAUGCUUAUCUUCCCAUGGAACACUAGGGGCAGGAAGAGGGGUAUACAAACCGUGAGGCUUCAGCUUGGACUUGGCCUUAUUACAAGUAAUACACCUUUUGACAAACCUGUCCACAUCACGCCUCAUCUUUGGCCAAUAAAAAUUCUCUUAAGCAUAAGCAAAGUCUUUUCACGUCCAAAGUGACACAUCAAGCCGCCGGCAUGUGAUUCCUGCAGCAAUAACAAACGCACGGACGACUCGGGUACACAAAGUUUGUUAGCUCGAAACAAAAACGCAUCAUGUAUGUGAAACUUAUCCCAUCCUUUCCCAUCCUUACAAAGAUUAAAAGGUGCAGCAAAGUCACGAUCAGAAAUAUAUAAAUUACGUAAACUCUCUAAUCCAGGAACUUUAACAUCCAAUUGACUCAAAAGCACAACUUUCCUAGAAAGAGCAUUAGCAACCACGUUUUCUUUACCCUUUUUAUGCUUAAUAAUGUAAGGAAAAGAUUCAAUAAAUUCCACCCACUUAGCAUGUCGUCGGUUCAACUUAGCUUGGCCUUUCAAAUACUUUAAAGCCCCAUGAUCAGAAUGUAUAAUGAACUCUUUAGGCCAUAAAUAAUGUUGCCAAACCUCAAGAACACAAACAAGAGCAUAUAAUUCUUUGUCAUAAACAGGAUAGUUCAAUUGUGCACCAUUCAAUUUUUCAGUAAAAUAUGCAAUUGGACGACCCUCUUGCAUCAAAACACCACCAAUAUCUAUUCCACUAGCAUCACACUCAAUCUCAAAUUGUUUAGCGAAAUUAGGUAAAGCAAGUAAAGGUGCGGCAGUUAAACGAUUCUUUAAUUCAUCAAAAGCAUUAUCUUGGGCUGGUCCCCAAACAAAAUCAACACCCUUUUUAGUUAGUUUAUUCAAUGGGGCAUCAAUGGUGCUGAAAUCUUUCACAAAUCGUCUAUAAAAAUCAGCAAGGCCAUGAAAACUUCUAACUUGAGUAACAUUGACAGGAGUAGGCCAAGUUUUAAUUGAUUCAAUUUUAGAUUCAUCAACCUCAACCCCAUGGGCAGAAACAACAUAACCCAAGAAAAUGACCCUAUCUUUGCAAAAUGUGCACUUUUUCAUGUUACCAAAUACUUUAGCAUCACGCAACACUUGCAAGACUGAUCAACAUGUUUAGAUUGGGUGCGGCUGUAAAUAAGUAUAUCAUCAAAAUACACAACCACAAAUUUGCCUAUGAAAUGCCUUAAAACAUGAUUCAUUAAACGCAUGAAAGUACUAGGUGCAUUAGUUAACCCAAAAGGCAUGACUAACCACUCAUAUAAACCGAAUUUAGUUUUAAAGGCUGUUUUCCACUCAUCCCCUUCUUUCAUCUGGUAUCCACUACGCAAAUAUAUUUUAGAGAAUAUAGCAGCACCACUCAAUUCGUCUAACAUAUCUUCUAAACGCGGAAUAGGAUGACGAUAUCGAAUGGUGAUGUUAUUAAUCGCUCUACAAUCUACACACAUGCGCCAAGUACCAUCUUUCUUAGGCACUAAAAUAACAGGAACAACACAAGGACUUAAGCUUACGCGAAUAUAACCUUUGUCGAGAAGCGCUUGUACUUGUUUAUGAAUUUCCUUCGUCUCGUCGGGGUUCGUACGGUAUGGUGGACAAUUGGGCAGCGACGCUCCUGGAAUCAAGUCAAUUUGAUGCUCAAUCCCUCGCAAUGGUUGCAAACCAUCGGGGACCUCAUCCGGAAACACAUCGUUGAAUUCCUGCAAAACAUGAGAAACACUAAUAGGCAGCGGGGUUAUCUCGUUAGUAGAAAGAAGGACACCUUUGCACAUAAGCACAAAAGGCUCCAAAGUAGGAUCCUCACUGAACUCUCUCAAAUCUGAUUUGGUGGCUAGCAUUACUAAGGAAUUAUCUCCCUCACCGUUCUAUUUACCACUCAAAUUUGACUUGUGGCACUCACUCACCGAAAAUGGAGUCGCUCGCCUAUCUAAUCUCUCACGCUCAUUCUCACGAUUUACUUUAGCUCUCCCAUUGUGACGAACAUCUCUAUCGGAUUGCCACGGCCGUCCCAACAGCAAAUGACACACGGUCAUUGGAACCACAUCACACUCAACGGUGUCCUUAUAUGGUCCAAUCUGAAACUCAACACGCACCAUGUGGCUAAUCUUCAUCUCACCGUGAUCACUAAGCCACUGAAUAUAGUAUGGAUUGGGGUGCGGGAAAUACUUCAACUUCAGUUUCGUGCAAAGCUCUUUACUAGCUAGAUUGUGACAACUUCUUCCAUCUAUAAUCACCUUGCACGCCUUGUCGUGUCCCACAACGGCCUUGGUUUGAAACAAAUUGCAGCGCUGCUCCUCGGCCGAGCUAGGUACCACACUCAAAACUUUCGGCGUACAAACUAUGGUUGGAAGAUGUGUAGCAUCAGCAUAAACAGUAGCAUGGAAAUCCUCCUCAUCUUCGUCAUCAACCUCAUCACCGGACUCAUAUUCACCGGUUUCUUCAUUCACAAGCAUAAUCCUCUUGUUUGGAUAAUCUCGCUGGAUAUGGCCUCGUCCGCGGCAGGUAUGGCAAAUGAUAUCCCUGUUGUGGGCGGUAGAACUAGAGGACGAUACAGAACUAGCAGCGGGCUGCACCGGCUUCUUGGCAUUAGAAACAGCAGCCUCGAGCUUGGUAUUGAAAGUGCCACAUGACCCGAAUGCCGUACUAGGGGUAGACGCGCUGCUCGCUGUCCGUGGGGUAAAACGACCCUUGGCAGCGGUAGUACGUGCAGCAAACUUCGCAUCCUCCGCCAACUGAGCCUCCGCUUCAUGUGCUUGAUGUAGCAACUCCGUGAUAUCAUGGUAUUGGUAAUGCCGGACAAUGCGCUUGACAUUGAAGUUCAGACCAGAAAGGAAACGCUGCAUGGUUUGUUCGGCAUCUUCACGAACACGGGCACGCUGCAUAAUAAGCUCCAUCUCCUGAUGAUAGUCAUCCACGGACUUGGUACCUUGCUUCAAAUUCUAUAACUUAUCAUAAAGAGAACGGAUGUAGUUGCGUGAAAUAAAAUACUCACGCAUCUCGCGCUUCAUAGACAACCAAGUAACAAUAGCAGGCAAUCCUUCCUCUUCUCGUGUUUGCACAAGGUUCUCCCACCAUACAAAGCAUAACCAUCAAAUUCAGAGCACGCCAACUUGAUCUUUCUAUCUUCGGUGUAGUCAUGCAUGCGCCAUAACUUUUCAACCUUCAGCUCACAAUUGAGAUACUCUUCAACAUCAAUGGAGCUUUUAAACUUUGGAAUUGUAAACUUGGGCCUGCCCAAGCCAUCAUCAUCACGAUGGUGUGGCUGCCUGAAAUCACUGUCAACAUCACGAUGAGCAAAUCCACGACCAUGCGGACCACAACCACCCAUCCUGCGACCAUUAGGAAUGUCAUGGUGUACUCGACGAUCACGAUUGUCUUGCUGAAACCGUUCACGUCGAGCGCCAUCAUCCUCACGAUGUACCUCCUCACGACCAUGGACACUCUCGCCAUCACCUUGCAACCCUCCCAAAUUGGUUUGAAUAGCACCAAUGGACCGUUGUAGCGUGUCAACCGACUGCUGCAACGCGGUGAUAGAUUGAUGCGUGUCAUUCACGGUCUUCUCGGUAUUGUCCACUUUCAGCUCCAUGUUCUGCACUUGCUCUGCGAGGGGAUCAAUUUGGAGGCCGAGUUGACGCUGAAAGUGCAUAUGAAGCGCAUCAUAUUGAUAGAACUGCACCAGGGCGGUAGGAUCUUGCUUCUUCUCCACAUCGUACUGAUCAGCGUCUGUAGACAUGGUAGACACAAAAACAUAAGCAACCAAGUGUAUAUAUAUAGGUGGAAACUCUCAACUCACUCAAAACUAAAAAUAACAAGGCAUCUUACCGUUCUGAAGUGAACUGAAAAAGCUACUUACCGCUGCGGUGGCUGAAACGCACGUGUGUGUGAUCAAGCGAAUUUUAUGGGUCAAGAUAUCACACGACAACUAAGGUGUAUAAGGUGGAGCUUGGUUGGGAUACGUAACAACACCAAAUUUGCAAGGCCUAGUGCUGAUCGUAUGACUCGACUCACACGGGAAACACACACGGUGGAGAUAACUGGGGCAAAUGCAACUGUAUGGAAGAGCUGAAAAUAUGAUAUACGUCGGAGGUAAGCUCGUGUUGCAAUGUACAAGGAGAGACACUAGCAAUAGAUCAAAAGAAACGGGCACAAGAUUGCUCAAACGACAAUUGGAAAAAACAAAUUUUGGAUCACAAAUUUUCCGCUACAACGGCGGAUAGCUAAAAACGAUCCCGGAAGUGUAAAAACAGUACAAGCUCGAAAAAAUUUCGGAGAGAGUUCCAGACUCUUUUUUUUUGCUCUCCCCUACUCUUUCCUUGCGGCUGAAGCUUUCCGAGAACUCAAAUCACUUACAGAUCAAUUGGAUCUAUUCUUAUGGAAAAACAAGAGCAGCCCGUAGAGCAAAAUAUAUACUAGUACUCGAAAGAGCAAACAGACUCAAAGAAGGACUCAGAUCGGAAAUAGUACUUUGACUUGUGGUAGAACUCGGAUACACACUAACCGACUAGAAGAAGGACUCAGCUCGACUUGAGCUUGCUGAUUAGGAAAAGGACUCGUCCAAGAACAGAACGAUUCCGACUAAAACAAGGAGAAAAACCGAUCUCGCCGACUGCAAAUAGGCUCAAAAACCAGAACCUCGACGAUCUACUAAACGGAAAAAAAGGUUACGCAAAGGGAAAACGACCAGCAACUAAACACAAGUAAAUGGUGCAACUAUGGCUAUGACAAAAUCUAACCUAAACUUUUUGUAUGGCUUUUUUUGGAUAGGACGAAAAAUAGAUCUAACUAGGGGAAAAAUUACGCUCACCGAGUAAACACUGGAAAUCUGAUACCGAGAUGAUAAGGGGUAGCCCGAUCUUCUCAGAGAGCAACGUGGAUAACUUGUAUGAUUCUACAAAUCUUUCGGCUGUUCACCCGUCGCCGCACGACGAACUUGCAACCCAAUGGAAAUUCACAACACCACACACUUGCGCAGUAGUCCGCCGACCACAAGCGAUUUCGCAAUUUUCCAAUUCCCAGCGGAACGACAGAUUACGCUCGAAAUUUCAGUAGAUAACAAACACCCUAUCGAAAUGAAUAUGGUGUAUAGGAUUCCAGAUGAAUGCUUCUCGCAAUCAACAAGAGUCUCAAAAAUAGCUAAAACGUGGUCUAAUUCUAACCCUAGGCGUACCCCUUGUUAUAUAUACACGAGGGGCAGCCAAACACACAAACGGACCCAGACUCAAACUAGGUUCGACUCAAACACAUACAACCAAUCUGAAUAGGACUUGGCUUAAACUAGGACUCGCAGGUCCAGGCGCCCCUUAGAAGUGUCGGACUCGUCAUAGGCUGUCCUGGUGCGCCUCGUACUCGUACUCAACUUGUGGUGGGCGUUGGCUGCCCCUUGCACACAAGUUGCUCUUCUAGCAUUUUGUAUCCUCCAUCUUCAUUUGUGAUGUGCCUGCCUCCCUCUCCUCCCUCGCGCAUAUCUUGAUGUUGGAUAACAGCACAUGAUGAUCCUUGCACGCGGCCUCCUCUCCUCCAUGCUCCACGGUUGCCUCAGCCUCAAACCUGAUAACACAAAGAUACAAAGAUUUAGGUAGUAUAAAAUUUUCAUCAAUAUAAACAUUAGGUGCAGCUAGGAGUGAGUUCACCUGUUGUUCUAAUAACUUGGCACGUGCUUGUGUAAUUGUUCCAAUGCGUAGAUCAUUGGGUUUAUCUUGAACAGCAAGAUCAUCAUUAGGCAAAGAUGACAAAGGACUAGGGAUGCCUCAUCACAUUGACGGGGCGUUGACAUUUUUCUCUUGCCUAGUUAGCUUGGCUUCGAGCAAUGUUAGGAUUGUUUUUUCUUUGUUUAUUAAAAAUAAGAAAAAAUGUUCAUAAAUCAUUUUAUAUUUCAAAAUGUGAUUCUGUUUUUUUUUACCGAACAAGUUAUUAAGAAAUGCACGGAUAUUUUUUGUUCACGAAAUUCUUUUUCUUCACCUGUCCCACCUUAUAGUUGUUGUAUCCAUCUUUCCUUGUUAACACUAGCCUCUUUACUGUUAACCGUAUAAUUUUUCUUUUUUUUUUCAUAUCCUUUGGAUUUAAAGUAUCAUCAUUUAGUGCUCAAUGAUAAAAAUUAAUUUGUUCACCCAAGUGGCGAACUACUUUUUGUUCAUUUAACUCCUUUUGCAUUUAGAAAUUGCUAAAUCCGCCUUAAAAAAGUUUUCCACGUUCAGUUUCCUCUUCACCCCGCCAUUUGUUUUCUAUUCGUUGCACUGUUCAUAAAUUUCAAAUUUCUUACUUUUUGUUCCAAAUUUGUCGUUCAUUGCACUUUUUUGUUCACCUCUAUAUUUCUUUGUUUACUGCACUCUUUCUAGACUUAAAAGAUUUGUUAUUUAAUGUUAAACCAUAUAUCUUCUUGUUCACUCAACUCUCUUUUUUGUUCAUCACUCUCUCUUUUUUUACGUCCACCAAUUUUUUUGUUAACCUAACAUUACUUAGAGUUCCAAAAAUCAGUCUUUCAAACUUGACAUUACCACACCUUUUUUUUUCUUGUACACCUAUUUUUUUUGUCUCCAUCUAUGAUGAGUUUGAAGAUUCGAUAACCAGGCAAAAUUGCACGUCUACAACAAAUAAAGUUGCACCCUACGUGCAAGUGUUAGUGCCUUCUUCUUUUUUUAGCUUUGGGUCGAAAGGGUUGAUGAUUUGGCAUUCAACAUCCAUGCAAAGUAGUAUGUGUCUUGCUUCCUUCAUGAAGGACUUCGUCUUGGUGAACGGAUUGCUACUUGUAUCAUUUGUUGUCCACGGUUCUAUGGUAAGUUGUAAUAGUAUUGUAAUGACCCUAAUUUACAUAAGGUUAAUGCAUUCAUGACAUCAAUUAAGCAUUAUGAUUUUGGCUAAGAAUUUAAACUUUCUAAUAAUUGGCCAAGCCCUCUUAAACCCCCAAAUACUUUCUUGUGUUUAAACCCCUCACCUUUUGGAAAUUUUAUCAUAAUUGUGAGCAAGGCUUUGGAUACCUUUUAAAACUGUUUUGAAUUUAAAAGAAUACUUAAAUCCAAAUAAAUUCAAUCUUGCUUCAAAUCAACUUUUUUUACGGUAGAUAGAUAAAAUAUUGUGAGCCUACCCUUAAAUUUCAUGUUUUUGAAAUAGGUUAAGGCCUCCAAGUUAACAUAAUAUAAAUUGGGAAAAGGGGAUUUUCAAAAGAAAAAAAAACUAAGUGUGUUGCUUGUCGUGCACUAAUUGGACAUAGCGGUCAACACGCUAAGCCUCCUCUCCCUACGACGACGCGCAUCACACAUAGGGACCCAAAACAAUAACUGUUUGUCCAUGCUGGGUCGCCAAGGCUAGCCCAUCCAUAGAACCGAGGCUAGUCCACCUUUUGUUUGAAAAUACGUGAAAAUAAAAAUAAAAUGAAAAGGCGUCGGGCUAGCCCCACAAGCCGACUUUGAUUUAUUUUUUUCUAAAUGAUUAAAACCUGGAUGGUGGACCCUACCGCACAAGUGACUGUUAACCUCUAGACAAAUCAGAAAAUUCCAUUUUGUUAGGAUUUGUAAAAUCCGUGACUUGGUGUAGAAAAAUCAUAAAAAUGGGAAACCCUUCAGCUAGAUUAUUUUAGGUCUUCGGUAGAAAUGUGUGCAUUACUUAUGUCAAAUGAUUUAAAUUGUAUCCAGUCAAAAAAAUGAUUUAAAUUGUAAAGUACGUGCUUAAUAUAUAGGAAAAUCCUUAGAAAAUUCAUAGAAUAAUAUCAGAAGCCCAAAAAUCAUGAAACCUAUUCUGGUAGGUUUUCUUUUGAGGAUAUGAACAAACAUUGCUGUUUUGAAUAGUUUUUUUAUUUCUAGAAAUAAUCAUUGGAAUUUAUUGCUUGCAAAUGCUUACUAUCGUAUUACUUAACUUGUUCAGCUAAAAAAAAUAUAAAACCCACUAGAAGAAAUCCUAUGAUGCAUUUAGGAUUGUUCGAUAUAAUGAACUUGUAAUGUCAGUGUGUACAAAAUUAGGUGUACUUAAUUUGUAGUAUCUUAGGGUUUGAUUGUGCCUUUGCCCUUGAGUGAACAUUCAUACAAUUAGGAUUAGGAUAAUCUAGGUGUACAAUAUUCAUGUUCCGUGAAGUAGUUUGUGAUGUGAUUCUUUAAUGUUUUCUAUGACCUCCUUGAUUUGGGGAUUUUGAAAAUGUAGGACUCAUGUUUGGUUUGUAGGAGUAGAAAGAACAUAUAAUUCCUAAUUAACAUGGUCAAAGCACAAGCUAAAGUAUGGUUGUAAUGUUUAUAAGUCACUAAAUACCAUUGUCUUGCUAUUCAUGCGAAUGAAUUUGAAAAGAGUUCCACGUGCAUCGUAGAAGUCCUGCGGUUUUUUCCUUUAAAACUAAUACGAGAGGAAAAUUUCCUAUGUUAUUUUUCUUUGCUCUAUUCUUUCAAACCAAAUGGAAACUCUUAUUUCUGUAGUUUUCCUUUCGAAUCGAAGUCACCCCUAUAUCUUGUGCAUGCCCUUUUUUUUUCGAGAAAACGCAAGAGAUUUGCGUAUCUAUGCAUAUAUUAAGACAGAAAGAGUUAUGUAUAAAUCCAAAAGGGCAACUCCCAAAAAAAUUGUGCAUGCCUUUUUGACCCAAAGACACCUCUGUAUCUUGUGCAUGCCUCUUUGGCCUACUUGUUUGGAUACCUGCAUAGUGUCCUCACAUUGCAAGAUAUACAGAGGUCGGAAGGUACAUCAUUUCAUUGCGUAAACAAACUAAACAGAUAGUACUAUGAUUUUCAAGCGUAAUUUAAGCUGACUUUAAAAGCCAGCUCCUGUGAGUUCCAUUCAGACAUGCAAUAAGAACAUCAAUAAAAGAAGUGACGGCUAUACACUCCAGUACAGAAGAACUGAAUGGCAGAACAACGGCCGACACAACUACAGCUGGUAGAUGAUGCAGAAGCAAAGCUACGACGAGUGCUAUGUAUGUUGGCCAUACUACAAAAACCGGGACUCCCCUACGUACAGUGACAGUGAGCGAGAAUGGAGCAGAAGCAAGUGGCAGUGGGCAGGCAAGCAGUUAGCCGCAGAGGGAGGGGAUUCUGAAGGAGAAGGAGAAGAAGGAGGAAGGCAGAUGCCCCGUCCUCCUGAUGUAAUCCGCCUUCUCUGACGUCCGCGCGGCUCCCUCGUUGAGCAUGGCCUCGGCGCUCGCCCGCUUCUCCUCGGCCACUCGCCUUGCCGCUGCCAGCUUGUUUGCCAGCCUCUCCUGCGCCCGUGCUUUCAUCUGCUCUGCCUUCAUCUGCCAGAGGAGAGUUAUUGAUCAAAUUCAAACAAAGCUCUCAGACCGGGAACCACUAAUUAAACAUUGGUCAGACUGUGCUCUGCUCCUAUGCCACAUCACGCAGUUGCAGAUCUACUGUGGUAAUGUUCCAACAGAUGAGACAUGUGAGUGGUACGGUGAAUUUAAAUCAAUUUAAACUGAGUCAGCACAUAGUAGGAUCAUUUAAAGAUCAGCAUCACUACUUGUCUGCUUUCGUUCUAUUACUCCUAUAUGUGCAGAUGCAAUGAAUUCUUGAUUUCUGAUUGGACCACUGAAAAGUCAGUGGUACAUGGAAGUGAAUGAAAUGCGUGUGAAAAUCAUGGCAUCUGCAGCACUUUUCGCAAGAGAGUUGAUUCACAGCAGUACAAGCAGGACGGACGGCUUACAUCAGAAACAGAAAAUGGCCGAAACUGAAUGAAAUGCAGUUAGUACCAACCAACCAUACCUCUAUUUUCUUCAUCUCCAUCUCGGCUUUUCUCUUCUCAUGGUUCUCCCAGGCCUGGAUCUUAACCUCUUCACGCUUGUAUCUGAGUUCAGCAAUACACCAUAAAAACUUAAACUGAUCAAUUUUCUAAAAACAAGAAAGGGGGGAAAAUGAAAAAUCUAAUUCGCAUUCGUCGCACCUGGCCGUGAACUUGGCCCGCUCGGCCUCGUCCCAGGCCGCGGCGCGCGACUCGAGCGAGUUCCUGCUGGGAACAUGACUCUCUGCCUCGCCGCCAUGAAGUGGCUCAGGCGUCCUGACCACGGUAGCAGCAAGGGGCAGAUCCUGCUGCUGCCAUGGCUUUGCCCUCGCAGGCGUGGAUGACCGCGAAGAGACCGGGCUCCGGGCGUCGACGGGUGUGGAGGCCCUUAGCGGCGUGGCGGCCCUGGAGGGUUCCUUGCUGGCGAUGGGCGUCAUCUCCGUGCCCAUGUCCCGCAGGCACACGGACGCCCGGACGACCUCGUCCAUGUUCUUCGUCUCGCCGUCGUCCUCGCCGAGCUGCGGCGGCGUCGGGGGCGCGACCACCAUGUUGUACUCGAGCGCGCCGUCCAUACUGCUGCAGGAGAUGCGCCCGUUCUGCGAGCACGACGAGCUCAGCAGGCGCCGGUCGUCUGCGUUGGAGUUCCGGGGCUUGGCGGCGUUGGCGGCGGCGGCGCUGCCCACGAGCCACUUCUGCGCGUCGUCCCACUUGGAAGGCAUCGGCUUCGGCCCCCUGGACGACGGCCCCGGCGGGUUCUUGCGCCGCCCGUUGAUGGCCGCGCCGCCGCCGCCAUUCGUGGUGUAGCUGCUGUAGCACUCCUUGUCGUCCACCUGCCGUGCUGCUGCUUGCAUUGUGUCUGAACAAAUAGGAUCAAGAUUCAGCCUGAAUCAAGAUCAAAGCUGUGGUUGGAAAUUCUGUUUUGAUUUGGUGCGAGUGUCUGAUUGGGGAACCGCUAAACCAGAUCAGAUCUAGCUGCUGCAGAAGAAUGUUAGGAAUUUGGUCAAUGGCGAUUGAAAACAAGGGGAAAGCAGACACUGAUUUGCGUGCACUACGGACGGAUUAUCAUUCAUCUGGCUAACUCUAGCUAUAUCAUAGCGAAGGGUACACUUGCGUACGAGUAUAACCAGUGAUAGGAUACAUUAUUGUGGGAACGAAGCCCUUGUGGGAAUUCUCUGGAUGUCCAUGACGAGCACACACACCCAAACAAGGAAACGAUUGUUAACGUUUGAUCAACUGAAAGCAAGGGGAUCUCCGUAUAUUCAUGGAACAAACUCCUCGAACUAAGCCACAAAAUAAUGGGGAAAGAAACCCUUUAUGUACUUUCAAUCAAAAAGAGAUGCAAAAGUGGCCCUUUUCCCUCUUUCUACUGAAAGCAAUGACUAUGCCAUCAAAUGCAGUAAACCAAAUGUGACACUAACGAACCCCUUUCACAGUUUACAGUGACGGAAAUGGGUCGAAUCCCUUGGACUGACAGCAACCAGCGGAGAAGGCUGGAAUAAACGAAAAGUUGUUGCUGUGGAGAUCCACACAAACCAGUGUAAAAAGAGCUAACCUUGGAAAUGGGAGCCUGCAAGGGUGAAGAGAGGAUGACAGAGGCAGCUGCGAAGGGCGAACUGACUACUACUUGUGUUGUCUAGGCUCCAUCUUCUCUGCCUUUGGUCUCUUGCCACCAUCAGAUCCACUUUUCUUUGACCGUUGAAGCAACACAGCAGGGCGCACGUGGGCUACUGCAGAUUCCACGAGAGGGAUAGGUAGCACCACCUGCAGCAUGUAAUAAACAACACAGCACUUCAGAGCACGAGAGAAGGUAAAAGAGAUGAUUUACUGCAAACUGAAAUCUAUGCCUGCGUUCAAAAAAUAGAUGUGAUCUAAUUCAAACUUGACAGCCAUCAUACGAAGUACUCCGUAACUCCUAGACACUAUAAUAACUAACUAAGAAUUGCAAUAAAAUGUCCUGAAGAUAUCAAUCUUUACAAUAUAAAUUACCACAAGACUUUAGUAAAGAGAUUAAUCGGGCUAGAGAACAGAUAACGUCAAUGGAACACUGCACAAAUUUGACUACCUUCUAAGAUUUUAGAAUGACCUUAAGUCACCCAUCAAAAAGAUAAUAAAGAAAGUAGCACUUGAGAACACACAAGAUAAGAUAAACAUAUGAUUUACUGAAAAAUAAGGUCAUGGUUUGAAUCACAUUACACUUUGUCCAUUUUUUUCAAUUUAACCGGAAAGAAGGUCAAAACCUCCAGACUCUGCAUCAAAAUGAUGCACAUGAUCAAAUUCUUAUAAAUUUAUUUAAAAAGCCUAAUAAACUAAAUACAUCGAUUGAACAACCCAAAGCCACCAUGAAUACCUACAAGCCUUAUGAAGGGGGUGGUCAUUAUUGGGGCGCUAUGCCCUGACCGGAUAGCACAACCCAACAUCUAAAUCCGAAGACCACGAAGGCACAACGUCAAGCUAAUCUUUAGCAUGUGUCGUAUGCGCACGCUCCAGAAGCAGCCAGCACUGACUUUCACGAACCCGUCUUCGGGAAAAGGAUCAAAGCAUUGAACUUGCAGACAUGGAACUGACGACGCCUCGACUGGCACAUGUCCAGCAGCCGUCCUCUGAGCAAGACUCCUCACGCACAGACCUAGCGUUCCCCAAUGACGCCCCCAAGAGGGAGAGCUGCGCCGCCACCCCAAUUGAACUUUGGGCUUUUAGUUUUUCACCCAGGAACCUAGAUCGCAGGGGUGAUGUGAAAGUACCUCGACGACGUCAUAGUGAAGGAGAGUUCAUGACGGCCCGUUACAAGGUAUUACAUGAAGAGUCCCACCAUAUAUUGAACUUGCCAGACUUAGCCCGGCCCAUUAUAAGUGGGCCGUGCCGGCCGUUACAGCUGAAACCAAGCCCAGGCUUGACAUAGUAGGCCUGGCCGUUUAGCCUGGUGGGCCCAAAAAAGCCUUCUUCAUGUAAUACAUUCAAAAUUUCAGAAACAUCUAAAUCUAAAUCUCCUGAUUAAUUUGACGACACUGAAAAGAUUUCAACGGCUUGAAUCGGCGAUGGUAAGGAUUAAUUCUCAUGUUUUAAUUUGAACAUAAUCGAGACCACCCGUUGGCCACAUCGGCUGAGCGCUUGGCCGAGAGUUGGGCCAGAAGAAAACUCGGGCUCGAGUUGGCUACAUGCUUGGCGAGAGAGGCCGAAGUAGUACAGCCAGAAAGAAAAAGGGAGAUGGGCUGAAAUGUAAAAACAAUACUAAACGGGCACUGUCAUGUCGGCCCGCAGGAUCGAGGCCGAACCAUCCAGGCCCGAUCUACGGCCAGCAGCGGCGCUCUCCGCCAGUGCCCCGGGAGCGAUCGCGAUGGUCGCGGUGUCGGUGCAAGGCGCUACGGCGUGCGUGGUUUGGCCGCAGGAUCCAGCAAUGCGGCUGCUGCGACGGAUCGAACCGGGCUACGGGUAUCUUUACAGGAAAGAAGAGUGAAACAUGGCCGAAAUCGUGGAAACAAAUUCACAUGACAUAACCACGGUACCCAUGUUCUCCUCUCGUGACGUACAUGCACGUAACGUCCUCUUGAUAUACCGGAACUAAAGCUCCUUUACACCAUACGGCCACACAGCAUACAAAUCAUUUUUGUUCCGCGAGCGGAAAUAAAUAAAAGGUCUUCGACAACUGAUUAGAUCUCUUGCGUGUCCCACACAAGGAAACGACCCAGAAAACGAGCUUGAAAGUUGAAAUCCAAUGUGCGUGGCAUACUGAAACUGUAUCAACUAGAUCAUCAACGUCAAUGACAGAGUGCUCUGCUUGCCCAGUUCCGACGCCACUCCAAAGCUAGCUCCUAGAUCCACCCAAUCCCAAAGCAUCAUCCCUCCUAGCCCGGCCGGCCGUUUCUUCCCAUUUAUUCGUCGGCUGAUCCCUAACCUCCGAAAGUUCAUUUCUUCCUUCCCGCCACCCCCCAUCUUCCAAUCCCAUCCCAUCAUCUUCACUCCCACACUCCAAUGGCUGGCUGCAGCCGCAUCGACCCAUCAUUCCGGGGUCUAUAUAAACUACAAUUCGCUCGCUCCUUUCUUGCAUACAUUGGUGGUUGUCUAACCGUAUAAGCUGCAACCAACAAUGUGGAAGUGCAUCUUGCUCGCGGUGGUGUUUGCCUUGGCGCUGGCCCCGGCGCUGGCAGUCCCGUUCACGGAGAAAGACCUCGCCUCCGAAGAGAGCCUGCGGGGUCUCUACGAAAGGUGGCGGAGCCGCUACACGGUGUCGCCGUCGACGCCGGGAAGCGGCCUCCGCGGCAAGUUGGCGGACCAUGACCCGGCGCGCCGGUUCAACGUGUUCAAGGAGAACGUCAAGUACAUCCACGAGGCCAAUAAGAAGGACAGGCCUUUCAGGCUGGCGCUCAACAAGUUCGCCGACAUGACCACGGACGAGCUCCGGCACUCGUACGCCGGGUCCAGGGUGCGGCACCACCGCGCCCUGAGCGGCGGACGCCGUGCCCAGGGGAAUUUCACAUACAGCGACGCCGAGAACCUCCCGCCGGCCGUCGACUGGCGCGAGAAGGGCGCCGUCACCGGCAUCAAGGACCAAGGCCAAUGCGGUACGUACUUCACUUACUUACUUACUUCCUUCCUCAGUUCCUCCUUGAUUUCUUUCUUCAUUUCGCUCCAUCUAUCUAUCCAAGCAUAAAGUUGGUAACAACAAAUUGAAAACUGUUCAAGGGAGCUGCUGGGCGUUCUCGACGAUCGCGGCCGUGGAGAGCAUCAACAAGAUCAGGACAGGGAAGCUGGUGUCGCUGUCGGAGCAGGAGCUCAUGGACUGCGACAACGUCAACGACCAAGGGUGCGACGGCGGGCUCAUGGACUACGCCUUCCAAUUCAUCCAGAAGAACGGAGGGGUCACCAGCGAGGCCAACUACCCGUACCAAGGCCAGCAAAACACCUGUGACCAGGCAAAGGUGAAGUGAACAACGGCAUGCAGGUCUAAACUUGCAUGUUGACAAUUUCAGUUCGAAACUAAUGUUAUUUUCUUUCUCAAAAUCCACAAAAUUAAUUUCUCUCAAAUGUGAAUAUAAAUGUUGUUUUAAAAUAUACGGUUUUGCUAUUUCUAAAACGACCGAAAAAUAACUACUUCUAAAGCGAUGCUAACAACCAUCUGAUCCCACCACUGAGAUUUGUGUAAGGUUAAUACAAGUACAAAUGAUGGGUAAAUCUUAAUCGGAUGGCUAUAAUUUUUCAUUGAGAAAUAACUAUUUUCAAGCCGACCGAUGACUAGACACUCCUUAAAAUAUAUUAUUCCAUGCAUGUAUUUAAUGUUCCGGUGCUUCAACCUUGCUGAUGCAUAGUUUUUCUCUAUCAAAACUUUUUUAGCAAAUAUCUCGGUACCAAAAUUAUGGAUCGAAUUUUAAGUAAGGGCAUAUUACACUGCAGGAGAACACUCAUGACGUGGCAAUCGACGGCUACGAGGAUGUCCCGGCCAAUGACGAGUCUGCUUUGCAGAAAGCGGUUGCAUACCAGCCCGUGUCAGUCGCAAUAGAGGCCAGCGGCCAGGAUUUCCAGUUCUACUCGGAGGUACAUAAUUUUAUCAAAUUCUACUCAGUGACAACUAUAUGCAUGCGCCGAUCGACUUACUCUGGUUAAUUACCUCAACGAAUUUCAGGGUGUCUUCACCGGACAAUGCACAACGGAUCUGGAUCACGGGGUGGCCGCCGUUGGGUACGGCACGGCUCGAGACGGCACCAAGUACUGGAUCGUGAAGAACUCAUGGGGCCUGGACUGGGGCGAGAAAGGGUACAUCAGGAUGCAGCGUGGAGUGUCGCAAGCAGAAGGGCUGUGUGGCAUCGCGAUGCAGGCGUCUUACCCGAUUAAGGCGGCACCACAUGCUACUACGGCCAGGCAAGCAGAUGAACUCUAGAUGAUGACAUCAAUUCAUCCUUCCGAGUGCAAGCCUUCUCUCGAUGGAGAAGUGAAUCUGCUACCCCUGUCGUGUUAUGUACUUUUAUGCAAGAAGAUGUUAUCCGUAAAAAAAAUAUUUUGUGUAAGAUGUUUUUUUUUUGAACGGUUACUUUGUGUAAGAUGUUACUAUAAAUAUAAUAAAGGAAAGUAAAAAAAAUUCAACUUUUGUCGAAAAAUUAUGGGAGUGUCUAUUUCUCGGUCGACUAGAAUUUUUUUAUUUCUCAGUCGAUAAUCGUAGCCAUCAAAUGAACAUUUUUUUAUCCAUCGGAUCUACAUUAGUCUUCUCAAUGAUUGAAUCAAAAGGUCGUUAUCAUCGAUUUAAAUAUAGUUAUUUCUCGGUCGCCUAAGAAAUAACAAAACCGAAGAAUUAUACUCCACUCUAUUAGGGGUGGGCAUAAAAACGGAGGACCGAAAACCGAAACCGAAUAAACCGAGACCAAAACGAAAAGACCAAGACUGAAAAGACAGAAUAGAUAUUUGGGUAGAAAAAUUAAUAGACCGAAUUUUAUUCUAGUAAUUCGGGUAUCAAUUCACAAAAGACCGAAUAGGACCGAACAUUGUAAAAACCACCUCAUUUUCCUUACACAAUCUAGGCGCCAACUACUCCGCAUGUAGAAAUCAUGGCACAAGAGAGGCAAUCUACGGUUUCACUUUCUUAAUCUCCAGUGCCCACCUUAAUAUGAAAGUUAUGUGAGAAAUAUAAGUGAAAUGUUGUUGUACUAAAACAACGACAAGUAUUUAGAAACGGAGGGAGUACCAAAUAACGUUUCGUUUUGGAACUAUCACCUAUCUUUGUAAAGUUCGGUCAUGACCAAACUAAAGACCGAAACUUCGGGUAACUAAAAUUUCGGGUAGCAAAGUUCCUCAGUAAAGUUCGGAUAUUAUAUUUUAGAAACCGAAUCGAAAAAAGACCGAAAUUGCAAGACCGAACUUUCGGUCAUGACCGAAUGCCCACCCCUACACUCUAUAUCGUUUAUAUAAACAAACGAUACAAGCGUAAGGAAAAACAGAACAAACCAUCGUGUUUAUGCACCUACGCUGCUACGUGACAGACAAGAUGAUAACCAACGGCCGUCUAUACUCCGACCGACGAAUAGGAGACUCUCAUCGGAAAUUUAUCAUUAAUUAUGCGGUCGUCACCACUGACAGGCAUGUCCAUCAACGGAGAUUGAAUACCAUUGAGGAGCGCCAAAUACCCAUGAACGAAGAAACAUCAAAACAAUGCUAGAUAGCUAGCUAUUUUUUUUAAAUAAUACGAAUUAUUUAUUUAUUUUUGAAAAUAAUACGUGGUUUAAAAAAAUUGCAAAUCUAGGCCACUCUCGGCGUGGGCCAGGCCGAUUAGCUCCAGUCGGCCUGGCCGAAUUAAAAUUUUCAACAACGUGGAAUAAACCUGGAAUCCUCGAGUGUAGUUCAAAUUUUUUUUUGUUGAACUUGCAAUACAUGUUAUUUAAAGAGUAAUAAUUUCAUUAUAAAUAACAUCUCGGAAAACUUGAUCUCAAUAUCACUAGAAGAUUACUCGGAAGUUAAGUUACAUCUUAGUUGUUUGGUUUCAAACAAGAGAAAUAAACAUCAUAGUGAAACGCUAUUCAAGAAUCAAGAGAAGAAGUGCGAUGCCUAGCGAAGACAUCUUUAUAUUAAUGGUAUGGCUACAUGAUUUCUUGGUCGUCGUCGUCCAUGAAGUAGAUAGCCUCUGCUUGACCAUCCCGGAGAGCCUUCACCCGUCUCCAUAUCCUCAGAACCCCUUCCACGGUCCAUCUCCAGCAGCCUGGCGUGCAUCCUGGCCACCUCCACAUAGAAGCCGGGAACGCGGAACGGUGCCGCGUCCCGUGAAUCCGAUUCGUCGACCCGAAUCAAGAGUCGGGGACGAAGCCGGGUCGAUGCGGUUCGAUGGCAGGAACAUGAUCCCAUGAUGCGGGGACGUUGCUGUUGAAAUAUACUUGUAGACUGUUCUGUAUUGCCGUGUAUUCAGAUGUAUAGGGCCUUGUAUUCUGUUGUAACAGCCCGGUAGAUAUGGCACACCGUUGCCCACUCUCCAUGUAUAUAUACCCUGUAACUGAUUCAAUACAAUCCACGGAGAGUUAAUCUAUUCGGCUGUUGCAGUGCGAAGAGAAAGAAAGAGAUUUAGAGAUGAAGGAAACAUGCGGAUGUUAAGGAGGAAAAUGAAAAUGAAACUCAACUGCCUAACUAAGAUCCUCUCAACGCGGCUAAAAUUCUGCUCUUUCCAUGCAUAAUUUGCUCUCUUUCCAUUCCGAUUUUGCUUUCCAAUCCUGAUUCUAGGCUAUCUAAUGUGAUUUGUACUGAUCGAUCCCGGUAGAUCGUCCCCGAUUUAAUGGGAUCGCGUCCCGCCUUCCGUCCCAUCGUCCCAAACGUAGCACUCGACGGCCCGCAAGAUUAAUCGCCUGGCAGUUUGAUCCAUGGACUUGAGUAGUAGUAUUUUGUCUUGUAGCUUGGAUCGAUGACAACGGGACGUCCGCGCCGUCGCCUGAAAGCGAGAGCGUGAGAACACCACCACCACUCCACCAGCAGAAGGGAGAUCCCAAUCGAGAUUAUCCAGGACAUCUUCGUGAAGCUGCCGACAAAAGACGUAUAUAUAGCCCGGUGCUACUGUCCGCGUCUCGAGGCCAACGUCUGCCACGGCUUCCUCAAUUCAUCUGUCAGUCCGACCGAGACAAGUCAUAUAUAGAUUAGACGGACAACGACAGAGAAUCAGAGAUACAGUUUUGGAAUUAGUUUUAAUCCGAAGAAAAAAAAAACAGAUGAUGGGAUAAGCAAAAGAAGAAACGGACCAGGCCCAACAGCGAGAAGGCCCGAUUACUAGGGCCCAAUAACGCCAGCACCAGGAUGACGGCCCAAACCGAACCGAGACGUUUGACAUGUAAUCUACCAAUCUCCAGUAACCACUAAAAAAGAAUCUCCAGUACGUAGUUGCCAUGCAGUGAUGAUCUCGUUCAGGGUUGAAAGCUGCCGGCACCGAUCGGUCGCUAGCUCUGCCCUUUGCUAGCUUCUUCCAUCUUGCUUGCUGGUGAGUUAAACAAACUGAUACGGAACCGAAAAGAGGGCUUUUUUUUUGUCGUACGUACGUCCAGGCCCAGCCAACCCGGCAGGCCGGCUAUACACGCGACAGACCUUCCUGAGUACUUUACUAAUUAACUCGACCCGACCAUACAUAUAUACAUGGAGUAGUUAUUAGGGGUACGUCUUUUGAUCGAGAUCAAAAUCUCCCACGACCUACAAUUAAUUGGCGCCGGGUGUUUUGCAAAAGAAAAAUUCCUGUAAACUUCCUCAAUAAACAUGCAGUGUUACUAUGUAGAGUUCCGUUAGCAAUGUAGAGUUCAGAAUUUUUUUUUGUGAACUUGCAACCCUCACCGAGAGCUUUUCUCCUUCCCCAGCCUGCCCGUCCCAUGCAUUUCGUGUCAUAAUCCCAUUAUCAAAGUCUUCAAUUAUCAGACAUGAGUUCACAAUCUUGGACAUAAGCUCUUACACCUGCCGCCCGCAACACAAACAAACACACAAAAGAUAUCACCAUCAUCAGGAUUAAAAAUAUAUCAUCGUUUCUGUUAUAUAUGAAACAAAACAAAACUAGAAUUUUUUUACCUUGUUAUAUCGGACAGUGUCAGCUCUCAAGUUUCAGCCAGUCAUCCCCGUGGAUGAACCGGUAGCCGAGGAAUUGCUUCAUGUUCUCCUCGAUGAGCGUGCGCCUCCACGGGCCUGCCGGCUCAAGUUUGAGCCCGGGCCCGUGCACUAGAACUCGCCGAAAAAGAGAAAUUAGGACUUCAUGUCUGUGUGUGCUUGUAAGGAAAGAACAGUUCCUAUUAAGUAUCUUGGUGUGCAGUGUGCCAAUUCAUUUCAAAGAUUUGAGAAGUACUGACUAGAAACGUAUUGAAGAAAAGGUAGAAAUAAACUUCAAAGUUUUUGUAUUACUGACUGAAAAACUCUAUAAGGUGUGUCUCAUAUUUUUGAACAGAGGGGAUGUUGAACGGUAGGGGGGGGGGGGGGGGGCAGGGCCCGUUGUGCCCUCAACUUUACAUACAUGAGAGUAGUUCAGAAUUUUUUGUUGAACUUGCAACCCUUUGAGAGAGAUUUUCUCCUUCCCCAGCCUGCCCACCCCAUACAUGCUCGUGUCAUAAUCCCAUUAUCAAAGUCUUCAAUUAUCAUGCAUGAGUUCACAAUCUUGGACAUAAGCUCUUACGUACACCUACUGCCCGCAACACAAACAAACACAAACAAGAUAUCACCAUCAUCAGGAUUAAAAAUAUAUCAUCAUUUCUGUUAUCUAUGAAACAGAAAAAAGCAAGAAUUUUUUUACCUUUAUAUCAGACACCCCGUCAGCUCUCAAGCUUCAGCCAGUCAUCGCCGUGGAUGAACUGGUAGCCGAUGAAUUGCUUCAUGUCCUCCUCGGUGAGCGUGUGCCUCCAAAGGGGCCGCUGGCUCAAGUUUGAGCCCGGGCUCGUGCACCGGAACUCGCAAAAAAAGACAUUAAUAUCGAAAAAGACGUUUCAGUAGAAAUCAGGACUUCAUGUCUGUGUGUACUUGUAAGGAAGGAACAGCCCCUAAAAAGUAUCUGGGUGUGCAGUGUGCCAAUUCAUUUCAAAGAUUUGAGAAGUACUGACUAGAAACCUACCGAAGAAAAGAUAGAAAUAAACUUCAAAGCUUUUGCUUUACUGACUGAAAAACUCUAUAAGGUGUGUCUCAUAUUUUUGAACAGAGAGGAUGUUGAACGGGUGAGGGGGGGGGGGGGGGGCUUUGUGCCCUCAACUUUUCAGAUUUUUUUUUGUUGAACUUGCAACCCUCUGAGAGAGCUUUUCUCCUUCCCCAGCCUGCCCGCCCCAUAAAUGUUCGUGUCAUAAUCCCAUUAUCAAAGUCUUCAAUUAUCACACAGGAGUUCACAAUUUUGGACAUAAGCUCUUACGUACACCUGCUGCCCGCAACACAAACAAGCACAAACAAGAUAUCACCAUCAUCACGAUUAAAAAUAUAUCAUCAUUUCUGUUAUAUAUGAAAUAAAAAAAAACAAGAAUUUUUUUUUACCUUGUUAUAUCGGACACCCCGUCAGCUCUCAAGCUUCAGCCAGUCAUCCCCGUGGAUGAACUGGUAACCGAGGAACUGCUUCAUGUCCUCCUCGGUGAGCUUGCGCCUCCACAAGGCCCGCUGGCUCAAGUUUGAGCCCGGGCCCGUGCACCGGAACUCGCAAAAAAAGAUAUUACUAUUGAAAAAGAAAUUUCAGUAGAAAUCAGGACUUCAUGUCUGUGUGUACUUGUAAGGAAGGAACAAUCCCUAAAUAAUAUCUUGGUGUGCAGUGUGCCAAUUCAUUUCAAAGAUUUGAGAAGUACUGACCAGAAACCUACCGAAAAAAGGUAGAAAUAAACUUCAAAGUUUUUGUUUUACUGACUGAAAAACUCUAUUAGGUGUGUCUCAUAUUUUUGAACAGAGGGUAUCUUGAACGUGGGAAGGGGGGGGGGGGGGGGAGGGCCCCUUGUGCCCUCAAGUUUACAUUCUUGAGAGUAGUUCAGAUUUUUUUUGUUGAACUUGCAACCCUCUGAGAGAGCUUCUCCUUCCCCAGCCAGCCCGCCCCAUAAAUGUUCGUGUCAUAAUCCCAUUAUCAAAGUUGUCAAUUUAAACACAUGAGUUCACAAGCUUGGAUAUAAGCUCUUACGUAAACCUGCUGCCCGCAACACAAACAAACAGAAACAAGAUAUCACCAUCAUGAGGAUUAAAAAUAUAUCAUCAUUUCUGUUAUAUAUGAAACAAAACAAAACAAGAAAUUUUUUACCUUGUUAUAUCGGACACCCUGUCAGCUCUCAAGCUUCAACCAGUCAUCCCCGUGGAUGAACCGGUAGCCGAGGAACUGCUGCAUGUCCUCCUCGGUGAGCGUGUGCCUCCACAGGGCCCGCUGGCUCAAGUUUGAGCCCGGGCCCGUGCACCGGAACUCGCAAAAAAAGACGUUACUACUGAAAAAGAAAUUUCAGUAGAAAUCAGGACUUCAUGUCUGUGUGUACUUGUAAGGAAGGAACAGUCCCUAUUAAGUAUCUUGGUGUGCAGUGUGCCAAUUCAUUUCAAAUAUUUGAGAAGUACUGACUAGAGACCUACCGAAGAAAAGGUAGAAAUAAACUUCAAAGUUUUUGUUUUACUAACUGAAAAACCCUAUAAGGCGUGUCUCAUAUUUUUGAACAGAGGGGAUGUUGAAUGGGGGAGAGUGGGGGGGUGGGGGGGGGGGGGGCGCAAGGCCCCUUUGUGCCCUCAACUUUACAUUCAUGAGAGUAGUUCAUAAUUUUGUUUUGUUGAACUUGCAACCCUCUUAGAGAGAUUUUCUCCUUCCCCAGCUCGCCCGCCCCAUGCAUGUUUGGGUCAUAAUCCCAUUAUCAAAGUCUUCAAUUAUCACGCAUGAGUUCACAAUCUUGGACAUAAUCUCUUAUGUACAACUACCGCCUGCAAGACAAACAAACAGAAACAAAAUAUCACCGUCAUCAGGAUUAAAAAUAUAUCAUCAUUUCUAUUAUAUACUCCCUCCGUAGAUGAACUGUUAUAUAGGACACCUUAAAAAUAUGAAACAAAACAAAGCCAAUUUUUUUUACCUUGUUAAUAGAACACCGCGUCAGCUCUCAAGCUUCAGCCGGUCGUCCCCGUGGAUGAACAGGUAGCCGAGGAACUGCUUCAUAAGGGGGGCCCCGAAGCCGAUUAGGGCCAGUCGGCUUGGCGCAGGCCGAUUAGAUCCAGCCGGUCUCGCCGGGGUGGCACGGGGGGGGUAAUGGGCUUGGGCGAAGCUGAUUAGUCUAGUUGAUUUCGUCCAAGCUGAUUGGAUUUGGUAGGUAAUAUAUUGGAUUAUAAUGCAGAUAGCUACCUGUGAUGAUAGCUACCUGUGAUGAUAGGCUAGAAUUCUGACCUGCCAAUGGUGGCCGGUUACAAUAGUGAAGAAAAGUCACCUCCUAGCGAACGCACCCUCAUUUGGGUAGAUCAUCACCUAAAAAACCCCACUUAUAGUGUAAACCUCAGUUGAAUGAAACCAUAUUAGGUAAAAACCUAUAUUCAGUGUAAAUUUGAUUUUUUUUAAUCUUAAGAAUUAUAUAUCCAAAAUAAACGGACUGAUCUAAGGUGGAACCUCUAAUUAAUAAACGGACUUCUAAUUAGGAGGGAGUUAUCAUAAAUGAGUUUAAGCGAUUAGAGGUUUUACAUUCCGUCUAGUCCAGUUAUUUUUGAAAUGACCAUUUCCAAGCGUUCACUGAAUAGAAGUUUUAGCCUGAUAUGUCGCCCAUUUACACCUUUCGACAGCCUCAAAUACUGAUAAACACAGUCAUCACAUAUUCACUGAUCAUCCUAACGAGCUCACGGGUUCUGUGAAAGAUCGGUAUGGUCGGUUAGAGGGGGAGGGGUGAAUAGGCGACUAACAAAUUUUACUUUUUGUUUUUCUUUUCUUGAAAGAUACAAAGCACUUAAUCCUAGGGUUUACUAGAUUCUCUAAAGUGAAUGCAACCCUAGUACGAAAUGCAAUAGCCGAAGCAACAAUAGAUAGCAAGAAUGUAAAGGGGAAAAGAUACCACACGCGGAGACGAAGAUUUCAUCGGAGUUCCACCUAUUGGGAUCGGUGUACGUCUUCGUUUGGAAGAGUGCUCUACCACAAAGGUAGAGACGCCACAAAGGCUCACUGUAUUCUCCAACUCACCACACCACAAAGGUGGGAUGAGCUCUCACAACACCACAAAGGUGAGGUGAGUUACACUAGUGGCUUCCUUGGGGGUGAAGUCCAAACCCUUACAAACUUGACUGGGGCUAACUCCACAACUCAAUUGGAGGCUCCCAAUCCAAGCCCGAGCUCCUCAAUCACCAAGGGAGAGCUCGAGGUGACCGCUUCCGUCUAGGGUUCCCAACAACCUAAGAGAAACGAAAUCCACAAAGAAAACAAGGGGAAUCAACUUUUGACUUGGUGAAACCCUAGAUCUUAAUCUUCUCCUCCAAAUCUCAAAGUAUUGGCUUGGGGGAACAACUAUGGAGGGAGAUCGAGGGAAUGAAGUUCUUGUGUUCUUGAGAGGAGAGAGUGGGUGUUCUUGGCUAAAGCUCGGGCAAAAGACCCGUUGGGCACGAAGGUGUAUUUAUAUGAGGUCCUGAAAAUCGAACCGUUAUGCACUGCGCAGAGACAGGUCGGAACUUCCGGUCAUUCACCGGAACUUCCGCAUAUUACUGGAAGUUCCGCUGAAUAACCGGAACUUUUGCAUUUUUCUUGGAAUCAACCGAGAACACCCAGAAGUUGGGGCGGAAGUUUCGGUCAGAACUUCCGCCACCUGUACUGCAGCUUUCGAAAAGCAAGUUUGAAUUUGGUUCAUCUCUCUCUCUUUUUGGGGUAGGCAUUUUAGUGGGUGCAAUUUGUGUAGUUGUGUACGUGAAAUUGAUUCACUCAUUACCUUCCCUUGUGGAUUCUCUCUUAAUAGUACGGAUGUCCUACGACUCAAAUCAAAUUGAAAAAGCCGCUAACACCGCUACGCUUCUUAGCAUCUUGAGGGUCCACACCAUCGUCUUGUGCCAAUUCCUUUAUAAAAUCUGAAAUACUUGACACACGAUUAGAUACACAACAUGUUGUUAUCACCACCAAAACCACUUAGGAGAGAAAUGCCCUUUCAAUCUCCCCCUUUUGGUGAAUGAUGACAACACAAAGAUUUGCAUAAAGAUAAACAAUUAAACUCGAUGCAAAGGAAUGUAAAAUAUAGACGGGCUCCCCCUAGAUGUAUGCACUAAUUAGAUUUGCUUGAAAUGCAAAGUGCACAUACACACUAGGAUCAACACUCCCCCUAGAUUUUAUAAACCAAUAACUCAUUAGCAAAGGAUUAAAGAUAUUUCAAUAAAAGCUCCACAAGAAUAUGUAGGAUUCAUUCAUAGAAAGAUAUAGAGCAUACCUCCACAAGGCAUCUCAAAGUUGAAUGGAACCUACAAUGACUUAUCCAACAAGAUAUCGAACAAUGCUUCCAAGAAGCAUAAUGGAUUAGAUAAGUCAAAACAAUUAAAAUUAUAUCUUUUGCAAUGAGAUCUUGUGAUGGAGCACAUUUGUAAGGGCACAAUAACAUAAGAUCUCCACACAAGAUUAGUAAGACAUGAGAUAAGCAAUAAUAAUAACCAUAAACAUAAUGCAUAGAAGUUUCACAUGUCUCACAUAAAUACCACGAAGGGUGCACAACACGCAUAAUGUCUUACAAGCACACAAAUAAAAUAAGUUCGAUAAAGCAUAAAAAGCCCAUGCAAAUCCCAACGACUAGUCACUACUCUCCCCCUUUGGCAAGACACCAAAAAGGGAGAACGUCCUGACCAAGAGCAAACAAAUCACUCCUCGUCUUCAUCGUUGUCUCCACUAGCCAUGGGCGCACUCUCCUCUUCAUCUUCAUCCUCAUCCUCUCCUUCUUCCUCAACCUCCCAUUGAACCGGGGAGGGGAGGUGACCAUCAUCACAGUUCCAAUCACCAUGGGUACUCUUGAAGGCUUCAAAUGUCUCAACAUUAGACACCGGAGAGUGAGGCAAAUCCAUAGCAGUCAUGAUGGCAGAUUGGCGCUUGAGGAUUCGCCAAUUGUCCUUGUGAACCCGAUAGAUCUUCCUCUCAUUAGAUUGUUGCAUGCAAAAGAACUUCCUAAGCAUGCCCUUCCAACCACCUUUCUUCUGGGAGGCACGAGUGGAGCUAGAGGCGAGGGCAUAAUCAAAAUCCAUAGGAUCUUCUUCCUCCUCAUCAUCGCUCUCCACACGUGCUUGUCUAUUGGUCGGAGGUGGAGGAAGGUGCUUCUUCUUCUUGAGAGAUUUCAUGAAAUGUGGCUUCAAAUCCAAAUCUCGCAGUGGGGGUGCCUUUGCAAGAAUAAGCUUCAUCACAAAUGGAGCAUACGAGGGCACCCUCCUAACAAGAAUGGCACUGUAGAACUCAUGCCACAAAUAGUCCAUCACAUCAAAUGGAUUAUCACCAUCCUUCCUCAAAUGAGUCUCAAGCAGAAGGUUGACCAAGUAGCCAUGCAUCUCAUCGGUGUUCCCGGUCUUGCAAGCUAUGGUCUCACGAUAGAUGCGCUGCAUGAUAUCAUAGACGGGUUGGAGAAACUUGGUCUCACCAGGCUUAACUCUCCCUGGCAUGUAAAGCGGUGCAAGGGCAACGUUGUCCUUAGCACUCUGAUGAUGAACCCGAAAACCUGAAGGGGUGACAAGUCCAGCACCGGGAUAGCCAAGCAAGGUAGCAAACUCUGCCCAAGUAGCCUCGCACAAGUGAUUCCUCGUCAUCCAAGUGACCUUCCUUUCUUCCUCUAUUUCUUCAAAGUGCACGGUGGUGAAGAACUGACACACAAGAUACUCGUUAUAAGGUUGAUUCAACCUCAUGAUAGGAAGUUGCUUGAACUUGCGGCAAAUGGAGAGCCUCGCCAAAGUAAUCACUCUUCUUCCUCAUAUCUUCUAUGUUGAUGUAACACUGAGGAACAACGUUGGUAGUUAGGCUCUCAUAAAUCUCCUCAAAGAUGCGAAUCUAAAAGUUGGUAUGAAAAUCACGGUUGUCAUCCUUGAGACGCUCAUCCGAAGGACUAACAUAGGGAUUCUUGAACCUCUCCUCCUCAAAAUCUUUCUCAGGGUAGUGCUUGAGAGGAAAAGGCCUCUUCUUGCCGGUUGUCCUUUUAAACUUUGCACCACCUUUGUUCAAAGGCCCCUGAAGCUCCUUGCGAAUGCUCGGAAUGCAUAUUUGCAUUGAGGCGAGUUGGGGAAAGUUGCUCCACCACUUUGGCCUUGCCCUUAUCUUUAGCGCCUGGAGCCUCUGUGAACAGAAGACAGAUACGAGGGACAAGAGAUAAGUGCUCUAGAAAAGUAGAAAAAGGAGUAUUGAUCACAUGGAGGAAAAACAGUAUUGGAAAAUUUCUACAAGAACCGAAAGUUCCGGUGUCGUACCAGUGGCCCACGGGGUACCAUUGAUACGGGACACGUGGGUCGCCAGUGACAAAGCCCAAUCAGGAAGACCUCCCGGGAAGCGAUGAAUCCGGGAAGCCUGCCUCGAGGAGACGACCCUUGGUGAAGGUGAAGCUAAGGGCCGAAUAUAAGAAGCCCCCAGGAACCCCGGUCCUGAGAAGCUGAAGGAACGCCUCCCGGCAACUAUCGGGUGCGCUAGCCGGGAAGGGGCACCCCACCAACCCACGCUCAGGCAUGCAGGCGGGACCCGCAGAAUAGUGAAGACAAGACAAGACAGCGGGCGCAGUGCAUUUAAUGCACCGAUAGGAGUCUUAUCGGCAGGCCUAGACUUGCUGAGCAAGGCUAGGGAGACUACCCUGCGAACCGUUUUUUCUACCGUGUACAGUAGACAGGGCGCUGCAUGGCGUCCAACGCGGAUCAACCAAAGUGUAUCUCGUGUGGCCGUGACACGCGUUUGGGAAACGUGUCACGCUGCAUGCUUAGGCACCUGUGGUAUCCCCUUGUCUAUAUAAGGAGGACCAAUGCCACCGAUCAAAGGGUUCCAACCCCAGUUAUUAGAACAUAGCACAACGUUCACCUAAGUAGCCAACCCGAGAACCUCUCGGGUGAUCUGUACUGAAUACAACUCAAAGCAGGACGUAGGGUAUUACACCUUCGGGUGGCCCGAACCUGGGUCAACUCUUGUGUCUACACUUCGUGUCUAUCGCCACGCCGACGAUCGCCGGAGCGAUCACCUCGCCCUCCACCAAACCAAAAAGGGGGUGCUCGGCAUCCCCGGUGCCGGAGACCGUGCUCCGACAUCUAGCGCGCCAGGUAGGGGGGGGGGUGCAGAGAGCUUCGGGCGGCGUCAUCGUCAUCAACAUUGGCUCCUUCGUCUACGACGUCUUCGGCAGCUAGGUCGCCAUGCGCCUAAGAAGGCAGACGAACCCCGUGUCGACUUGCGCGACACUCUCACCAUGCGCACUCGGUCCCAUGAUGCUGCGCGCACGUCACAAGCACAAGGGUACCCCCGCGUCACAAGCACAAGGGGACCAGGGGUCCCCUCCACGGCAGCAGCAGUCGUAGCUGCCACCUUUGCCUCCUCGGCCGUCGGCACACAACUGGCCGAGGGGGCCUGCGGCGCCCAGUGCUGGAGCCAGCUGCGCGAGCGGCCACAACGCCGCGCACGCCGGCCAGUGAGUCCACUCGCGGGCUGAAGACACGCAACAGCAACCGCGCCACGAGCACAGCGCGUCGCGUGCGACACCGACGGAGUCUCACCCCACACACCUGAGGGCACCGGGUGACAGGGCGGAGGGCAGCCGGUCGGAGAAUCGGCAGACUCCUGCCCAGACCCCGGCGGAAGCCAUCAUAGCCGCGCGUGUCAUGGUGCGCUACGAGCCACCGCAAGGCAUGCCGACGCAUGAAGCGUGGAGGGCGGAGCUGGACGCGCUCCUCGUGCUCGCCACCUAGCAGCCGCAAGGCGAGGGCGUCCCAGCUGGUUCAGGCCGGGGGCUGAACCCGGGACGCGGAGAUGCACCCCGCGUCUCAGGGCACGGAGAACAUGCUCCCCCGCUGGGAGGGCAAGGAGGCGAGGAUCCCAUGGGGUCCUCGGAUUCGUCACCGACCGUUACACGGGGUGACGCGCGGGGCGUCUUGAACGCCCGCCAGCAGGAAGACCUCCGCCAGCGCUUGGAGCGCCGGCACCGGCGUGAGGCGGAACGCCAGCGCCCAGAGGAGCAGGAAGAUGCUCCCAUGGGCGCCUAGGACGGCUGCGCAGUGUUUAUUUGCGAGCUGCGCCGGGUGACGUGGCCCCGCAAGUGCCGAGCGCCGACGCUCGGGACGUACGACGGGACCAUGAAUCCCAUAGAUUUCCUGCUGACCUACACGUUGGCUUGCACGCCAUUGGUGCCGACGACAAGGUCAGGGCCAACUGGUUCCCGAUGGUCCUCAAAGGAUCAGCAAGGACUUGGUUGCUCAACCUGCCUUCCGGGUCCAUAGCCUCUUGGGCUGACCUGCGCGAGCAAUUCAUGAACGCGUUCCAGGGCGGCUACAAGCGCCCGGAAAUCAUGGCGGAACUGCACACAGUCGUGCAGAAACCGGGGGAGACGUUGCGGGACUUCACCAACAGGUUCUCCAACCUCUCCUACUCUAUCCCUGAGGCGGAAGCGGCCGCCAUCAUCAACACGUAUGCUAUCAACGUCCGAGACCCGAAGAUGCGUGAGAAGCUCAACACGCACCGGAUCCGGACGACAAGGGAUCUCUACGCUCCCACGCGCAAGUGUGCGAUGGCCGAGGAAGGGCGCUUGGCGCCCGAGCUUGCCGCCAAAGCAGCGGCAAACCCACCGGAGGGCUCCGGGAAGAAGAGCUCCCAGAAACGCGGCGGGAAGCAAGUGCUUGCCGCAGAGCCGGGGGCUCCCCAGAGGCCCACCAAGAAGGCGGCGUAGGCGGGAGCAUCGGGUAGCAAGCCGACAGCGGCCGCGCGCUGCCCCAUCCACACCAACGCCACCCACGACACGUGGGACUGCCGCACUCUCCAAACCAUCAAGGAGAAGCGCGAGCAGCGCCACGAGGAGCGCCGCGUUUCCGGGGCUUGCUUCAACUGCAGGGACAUCGGGCACCUUUCUCAGUACUGCCCGAACAACCCCCGUGGCGGAGUAGGUCGGGUCGCAGCCGGCGGCGACAAAGGAGAACCCGUGGGGGGUCACGGUUAGGCCCGCGGCGGCAAGGUCCGGCCUCCCCGGGGACGCGACAAGCCUCGCGCUGAGCAGCGCGAGGAUGUCUAUAGCGACGACGACGCCGACAAGCCCGGCUUCCAAGAGCCUGGCAACGUCGCCUGCAUCCACGGGGGAGCGUAUGCUCUCACGUCUCAUGCCGCCGUGAAGCGGCUCACGGGUGAGGUCUGCGCCCUCCUCCCCAGCAUGGAGGCGCAACAGCCGUUGAGGUGGUCGCAUGUGCCGAUCACGUUCAACUCGGACGAUCACCCGAUCCGUCCCUUGGGUUCAGGGGUGCUCCCCCUCAUGGUGUCGCCGAUCAUAAACAAUGUGACGGUGACCAAGGUGCUGGUGGACAGUGGGGCGAGCCUCAACUUGCUGUCCGCCAAGCUGGUGGAAAAGCUUCAGCUGCCCCUGGAGCAGAUGAAGCCCACCGACCUGUUCCGGGGGAUCAACCCCGGAGUGGUGCAGCCCAUGGGGCGAAUCACGCUCCCAGUGACCUUCGGUUCCCGGAAAGCGUUCCGGACUGAGCACAUCAUUUUCGAUGUGGCUCACACCCCGUUGCCAUAUAACGGGAUCAUUGGUCGGCCAGCGCUGCUCAAGUUCAUGGCUGCAGCCCAUUGCACCUACGGCGUGAUGAAGAUGCCGUCAACAUAUGGCGUACUCUCAAUCAAGUGCGACCUGAAGGACGCUGCUUGGUGUGUGGGCAAGGUCGUGAAGACCUCCGUAGUGGCGGAUCUCAGCGACUAUGACGUUGCUGGGAGCGAGGAUCCACUUGCGGGUGAACAACCCGCACAGAAGAAGGCGCGAGCCGCUCCCGAGCAGGAUGUCGGGGGCAACUCCAGCUCCAACCCGCGCGUAAGCAAGGGCAUGAAGCUGAAGGAGGAGGGCACGAAGGUCAAGAAGGUGCCCCUGCAUACCGGCAACGAGGCACGCACCGUCUCCAUCGGUGCGAGCCUCGGUGACAAAUAGGAAAGCGCCCUCGUCGCCUUCCUCCGAGAGAACUCUGACGUGUUCGCUUGGGAGCCGUCAGUUCUUCCCAGAGUCCCUAGGGAGGUGAUCGAGCAUCGUCUGGCGGUGUGGCCGGACGUGCGACCCGUCAAGCAGAAGGUUCGCUAGCAAGCACAGGAACGCAAAGACUUCAUCCAGCAGGAAGUGGAGAAGCUCAAGACGGACCAGGUAGUGAGCUCCAUGCUCGUUGCUGAGAGGGAAGAGCAAGUCUCGGGGGCUGAGACGGAAGGGCCGGGGGCUCCCGGCGAGCCGAAGGAACCCCCGGCUACCUCCUCUACUCCUAGAUCCGAGGGACAGCCCACGCAGGCUGCCCCCCACAAGCGGCUAGUGCAGCAUCCCGUGUACUUCAUGAGCACGGUGCUGCGCGAUGCCCGGGUACGGUACCCACAGGUCUAGAAGCUUUUGCUCUGAAUCCUGCUCGCUUCGAGGAAGCUGCGCCAUUAUUUUCAGGCGCACAACAUCAUGGUGGUGUCGGGGUUCUGCCUGGAGAGGGCACUCACUAACCGUGAAGCCACCGGAAGGGUGGCCGAGUGGAGAAUGGAGCUUGUGCAGUUCGAGCUGUGUUUCGCAAACACAAGAGCAUCAAGAGCACCGCUCUCGCUGACUUUGUCACGGAGUGGACAUCGACAAGCAUAGAGGAAGAAGAGCCGGAGGCGAGCCUUCCCGGCAGAUUGGACGAAGAUUACUGGGUCAUGUACUUCGACGGCGCCUUCUGCUUGCAGGGUGCCGGUGCCGGAGUGGUGAUCGAGUCGCCCACUGGAGACCAGCUCAAGUUCGUGAUACAGCUCGACUUCGCCAACUCCACCAACAACAUGGCAGAGUACGAGGGACUACUUGCCGGGCUGCGCGCGCCAAUCGCCCUCGACAUCAAGCACUUGGUUGUUCACGGAGACUCCCAACUCGUGAUCAAUCAGGUAAACAAGGACUAAGACUGCCCUCAGAUGGCGGUGUACGUGGAGGAAGUGCGAAAAUUGGAGUCCAAGUUCAAAGGACUUCGAUUUGAGCACGUAAAAUGCAAGGACAACUUUGUUGCGGAUGAAUUGUCCAAGUGGGCAGCGGAACGCAACAAGGUGCCUCCUGGGGUGUUCGUGCAGAGGCAGUCAAAGCCCUCUGUCGACCCCAAGACAGUUGCUAGGGAAGCCCCUCCGGCAACUCAAGGUGACCCGGCAGCUGCAGGGGACUAUGCCGCCAAGUUGGUGGCAUAUACUAGCGGGAGCCACCACCCUGGGGGACGGAUAUUAUUUGCUACCUCAGGGACAGGACCUUCCCGAAGGAAGACGUUGCCACAGAGCGAGUAGCCCGGCAAGCUAAGAUGUACGCCUGGUGGACGGAGAACUCUACCGGAGGCGUCCUAACGGAGUCAUGCUCCUCUUCGUGCCCAGGAGGAAGGGUGCGCGUUGCUGAAAGAUAUACAUCGAGGCACAUGCUCACACCAUGUGGCCUCGAGGGCACUAGCUGGGAAAGCGUUCCGGCACGGCUUCUACUGGCCGACAGCACUAGCCGAUGCCGAACAAUUAGUCAAGACCUGCGAAACAUGCAAGUUUAACGCCAAGAGGAGCAACCAACCAGCGCAAGCCCUGCAAGUCAUCCCGUCCUCGUGGCCGUUCACGGUCUGGGGGCUGGACAUCAUCGGUAAGUUGCCGAGAGCAGUUGGCGGCUACGAGUACCUGCCCGUGGCCAUCGACAAGUUCUCGAAGUGGAUCAAGGUGGAGCCUGUCCGAGCCAUCACGGCACAGGCGGCCAUCAAGUUUUUCAAGGGCAUUGUGUGCCGGUUUGGUGUGCCUAACGGCAUCAUCACCGACAACGGCACGCAAUUCACUAGUGCGGUGUUCCAAGCUUACUGCGAGGACAUGAGCACUAAGAUUCACUUUGCCUCCGUCACUCAUCCGAGGAGCAACGGGCAAGUGGAGCGAGCCAACGCGGAAGUGCUGCGGGGGCUCAAGAUGAGAACCUUUGACAAGCUCAAAGGCCAUGGGAAACACUGGGUUGAAGAACUCCAGCCCGUGCUGUGGUCACUGCGGACCACACCAAGUCGGGCGAUGGGUCAAACUCCGUUUGCCCUCGUCUACGGGGCAGAAGCUAUGCUGCCCCUCGAGCUCAAGUAUGGGUCACCUCGGGUACGCGCGUACGGCUACAAGAGCGAACACACGCAGAGGAUUGAUGACCUUACCUUCAUCAAGGAGAUUCGAUGCCGGGCUGCUGUACGAGCUGCAAGCUACCAGCAAGGACUCCGUCGUUAUCAGGACAGGUGAGUCCUUCCCGGGGGGCUCGAGGUUGGAGACCUCGUCUUGCGCCGGAUACAAGGAACGAAGGCUGGGAACAAGUUGACUCCAAUCUGGAAAGGCCCUUUCCGGGUAGUGCAGGUGACCAGACCGGGGGCUGUCCGGUUGGAAAUCGAAGAAGGCUUGCCGGUGCCCAAUAGUUGGAACAUUGAGCACCUGCGCAAGUUCUACCCGUGAAACGGUCGUGCCUUACCCACGGGUGACGCUGCGGCAGCGUGCCUCUUUAAGCUAGUGUAGUCGGGCAUGGCCCGAUUGUAAUCCGCUAGCACAAAGUUGAAUAAAGAUAAGUGUUGCUUCAAUGAAUAUUGUGCUUUGCUAUUUAUGAAUGCUUCAGUCUCCUGCACUAGGUGCACAGAAUUGUCUCCUCAUUCUUGGCUGUGAGCGGGGGGCUGCCGGAACCCCGAAAACCAAGCUCGUUGCCGGGACGCCCCAAAACAAGGCCUAGCAGUUGCCGGACCCAUCCGCAACGUGCUACGUGCCAGCGAGGCACCAUGGAAAUGUAAGGAUACUCACACCCAAGUCUGAGGUCGACUCUUCUGUGCCCGGGGGCUGGGAGGCAGGAGGUUAUCCAGUUUAUACUGUUUUUCGUGCAUUUCGAAAUUUUUGCUAUGCACCUUGGGCACUACAGAAAUCUGACAUGUAGGGUAAAGAUGAGGCGAAGGUACACUGUGACGCUCGUGGGGUGGUCACGGGUGUCGUCGUCUUGGGAGUAAGUUGUACAUAUAUGGCAAUUACUUCGAGGCUUGAUGCAGGAAACUGAGACAGGGCCAGUACCUCCACGCGGCGACUGGUGGUCCCGGGCAUGUGGAGGCAAGAGUAGCGCUUCGGCUAUUUAAGGAGACCAGGGCAAGUGCAGCACCAGCAGCGGGCAAGAAGGCAAGAGAUGUCGCAGAGAGACGAUGGUGGUGCAUCCCUCUGCGCUUGUCGCUGAGGGUGUUCCCACCAUCGCGGCCCUGCCACAUCUCUUACAAAAUGACACCAGAAAUGGCGAUGAGACAAGCAAGAGGCGUUGUAAAGACGCGGUGGUGGUGCAUGCCUCCGCGGCUCCGAGUGUGCUGCUGGAGGGUGCACGGCCACCGCGUCCUUACCACGGCUCUCAACGAGGUGAUACGAGACCAAAGAGAACGGGAAGCUAAGUAUCUCAUUUUGGGUCCUUGGUUUUUCCCUUUGGUAACACAGGUUUGCUGGGGUAAGCUCGGUCCCUGUGUUGCCGGAGCGUAGGAAGGACGCUUGCGGGGUGAGGACGCCCCCACACGGAGGCGUGCGCGUUGGGGUAGUUAACCCGCAAGCGGAGUGACUAGCUGCUGCUGUUUGGUCCUACGUCGGCACCGCGGGUCCGUCCCGGGUCCCUAGUCUGGCCAAGCACAUGGUUGGCGAGUCCCCGGGUACGCAAGGCUAAAACAUGAGAAGGACAUAUCCCCUCCUCGGCAAGCUAGUCUUAGGCAAAGAAGCAAGUAAAAGUGGCAUUGGAUAUAUUGAAGCUUGAGCAAAACGAGUUAACACGUAACACUGGUGAUGAUAAGGGAGAUCAAACAUAAAAAGUUCUAAGGCGCCACGCGCCACUUGCAGGAAAAUAAAAAAAAAAGAAGGAAACUAUGCGGGAGGUGCUCCCGCCGGAGCGGCUGCGUCGGUGUCAUGUGCAUCCUUGGCAUCGGGGGCUUCUCCGGCAACCUCCUUAGCAGCGGCUUCGUCUUCGUCGACCUUGCCCUGCAUCCGCGCCACCAUCUCAUCGACGACGCCCUGCACCGCUUCCCGGUGGGUUCUGGCUUCUUCGUCCGACUAGGUCUCGAAGACCGACUCGAACGGGAAGUCGGGAUGGGCAGAGUGGACCCAGGAGAGAAUUUGCCCGACAACCUGCUCGGCCGCAAGGCCGACUUGCCGGUCCCCGAAGGACGUCACACAGCUCUGCAGGCUGCUCAGCCGACCGACGAAGUCUGCGAAGAACGAAGUGAAGCUCCCCAUGUCUGCCCCAUCGAAGGAAGCCACAGGGAUGUCGAACCCCUGCAGCGCCUCCACCGCCGAGUCCGCGCGCUUCUUCAGCCUGGCCACCUCCCCUGUCCUGCGGGCCCGCAGCUUGGUGCGGUGCACGCACCGCGAGCCUCCUAGGCCUGCAGCUUGUGCUCGUGGCACUCAGACUGCAGCCUGCUGAUCUUGGACGCUUUCUUGGUGUUGUCGUCAUCGAUCAGCCGGAGUUCCUGCCGCACCGUGUCGAGCUCGCCCUGAAGGGACGAGCCGGCAUCUUAGGCGGCCUUGAGCUGCCCCGCAAGCUCGCGCUCCCGGGAGCGGGCAUGUUCCUGCAGCUCCUUCUCCCGGCGCGCUGAGGCUUUGGCUGCCGUUGCUGCCGCCGUCUCCAGCUCUCAGACCUCACGGCGGAUGUAAGACCCCGGGACCGGAAUUAUGCAAUUUAGCCCCAAAUUGCUAACCUUUGCAUAAUUCAAGCCCCAGGUUCUUAACCUACGAUAAACACCUCAAUACAUACACGCAUUAAUGUGCUCAUCGCAGGAUUUCACAACAUUAAUAUCAUUACCAAAACUCUACAGAAAAGAGUAAUUACAAAGCUCAUACAAGGAGCAGAAUAACAAAUAUUACAAAGAGAGGACACAUGUCCCAACAUUACAUCAUUACAUCAGCGGAAGUCGAAUUAUGCUCGAGUACGGACAAGAUUACAGCAUGGCCUGAAGAGGCUGGAAGCUGGAAGGAAACCCGCCACGAGUCUCAGAACCCUGAUCUGGAUGUCCUGGCUAAACAUUGAAUCCAACAUCGUGCUCCACGAAGAAGUUAGUGGCUCACCUGCUCUACUGGAACCUCUGAAGAAAACAACGUUGCAAAGCAACUAAGUACAAAGUACCCGCAAAACUUAUGGGGAGAUCUAUACUAGUAUGCAACAUGUCUCAAAGUAGGGUAAAAUGGGGUUAUGCAGCAGCAGAUAUCUGGAGAGACACUCUAAUAACAACGUCUAAGUAGAGGAUGAGAAGCAUCUACUAAGUGAAAGUGAUUAACCUAUUUACUAAACACCAAAACAACAUAAUCCUCACAUCACCCCGUCAACACCCUGUGAGGAAGCAAUCCAAAGGACACUCACACUUAAGCAGUUUUAAGCAUAUCCAUGAUUAAGGCUAAUUACUACUCAAGUUUUUGAGAUUAAGUUGGUUAAGUUCUCUAUGAUCAAGUAAUGACCAACCAAGUCGUCCAUAACCGCGGACACGGCUUUCCGAAAGAUUUAUCCCUACAGGGUGCCAAUUUACUUGUACACGUUCGUCCAACCCUUGUUGCCACUCGAGUAGGAACACACAAAGACGUGUGUCGGCAGGAUUGGGCGACACGACGUUUUCAAGCCCCACAACUACUCCAGGGGACCACCCAACUAAGUCUAAUCCGAAACGUGAGCCCGGCCGAAGCGUCGUACGGACUCAAAAGUUGCGUGGACAGCUGGUAGUGGUUCAAGGCCUGCAGGAUGACCACUCCAGACUAGUGCCCCAAUCCUAUAUGUAUGCAAAGUAUCAACAAAUCUCCAAACACAACACCAGUGUAUAUGCGAUAUGCCAAAUGGAACGCCCGAACUAUGUGGCCCCUGGAAGAGCUAUGAAACGAGUAAUAAGCCGAGGGGGAAGCCAUAUCUUCUCCCACGAGCGGUUAGCGCGAAGUUUCUUGGGUCGGCGAAAACGAGAACUCAGUCAUUAGGUCCGUGCGAAUGGAACAAAACGCCAAUGCGUUAGCACGGCCUCCCAUCGUUGCCUUGUGCAGGUAACAACAUGUCACAAUUUAAUAAUUGCAAUUAAAUACAGAAAGUAGCAUGUGCAUGUAGCAAUUGUGGAACCCCAAAUACAGAAACUAAGCAUGACAUCUAAUGACCAAGGGCUAGGGCAACAAGCAAACAUGUGACAUGGUAAUAGGACAAGUAACAAGACAUAGGGCAAUAAGUAGAGCUGACUAAUAAGCUAUGCUACCUAGAGGCAUCGUGACAAGACUGAGAUCGUAACUUAAUGCAAGAUUGAAGGAGAAGCAAUAGGUACUCAAUUGCUCGGAAUUGUUCCCCUCACUCUCGCGCACCCCCUGAUGCGCCCCUUUUUUCUUUUCGCGCACCGCAGCACUCGCCGACGGAAGCAUCCCGUCGCCCUCGACCCUCGCCGACCCUGUCAUCGACUCCGUCUCGCCGCGACGCGUCGUCCCCGCCGCUUCCCGAGCCCGCAGCCUCGCCGGAACCCUAGACGUCGCCGGAGGUAAGGCAGACGCCUCCCGACCGUACAAUCUCGUCCGACGGCUAGGAUUAGAUCUCCUUUUUGAACCGGUAUGGGUAGAUCUGGACCGCCCGUGUUAAGUUAAUGAGAUCCAACGGCUGAGAUUAAAACCCAUCCCGAACCGGUACCGGCCAAUCACAGAGUGCCAGGUGUCCCUGAUAAAAUGGAAACAUAAAUCCCGGUUUAAUUUGAAUAGCAGUUUUGCAGAAAAGCCCCUAGAACUUCAAAUGAUCAUAACUUUUAAACCCUUUGGCCAAAUUUGACAAACUUUACCUUUUUGGAAAGCUCUCAACCUUUAGAAUCUUUUGGCUCUGUUUAAAUUUAAAUUUGAAUAUUUGAAUCACAGUCAAUUUACAGAAAGGUCUUUUAUACCAUUUAAUUCAUAACUAAUUAUUUAGAUAUCCUUUUUAAAUGAAACCAGUGCCCAAAAUUUUGUUUUGAUGUCCCUAUGCAUUGGGACAGAGAAAUAAAUAUUUUGAAUUAAAUUAUUUGGCUGAUGCCAAUAAAACCUAAUUUAGGGUUUUAAAUCAUUUGUUUUUGCCUUUUUGUUUAAACCCUAAUGGAUUUAUUUUAAUUACUUAUGCUUAGGAUCAUUUGAUCACCCAAAUAAAAUCAACCCAAUCAUGUCACAUGUUUUGCAUUGCAUCAUGGCAUAUAUUUUUACUUUUGACUGUAUUGUGUGUUUAUGUAUGCUGCUUUGAGGAAUUGGAUAUGUAUGCGACGUCUGGUCCAUUUCUAUGAGUCGUCUCGCCAUUUCUAUGUGAGCGCCUGCAUUGCAAUUGAGGAAUGCCACCCGGGGUAACCAGAGACUGGACUAGUUUCCUGUUUAGUAGCUUCCAGUACAACCAUAUGGUAAUAUGGGCUCUGCCAGGAUGGAUGUAAGACAUCUGAUCCUUGAUCCGAGGGAUUGUGCAGAUGUAACCGUGUAGGUGGGAACGUAGGUCCCUCAGGUGGUCUGGAUGAUUAUGGUCUGUAAAUUCCUAUAAUCGAUGCCGUUGCUACUCUACCCUGAGGACAGUAAGGGAUUAACAUGUCCAUUUCUGUGGGGAAUGUGUACCACCUCUCGAGAGUGUCAAACUAAGUACUUAGCCGUGUCCCCGGUUACGGACAAUUAUGAGCAACUAGAUAUUGGGACUGUAAGAAAGGUCUCACUCAUUCUAAUUUCUUAUUUAAAAUGAAUGGUUUGAACAGGGUAGGAGCACUUGAUGUAUUUACUCAAUGUGCUCUUGGUUAAUAGGAGCAUGGGUGUUUCUACCCCCCGUCCAAUAGUGAUAAAACUAUUUUUUUUUAAAUGAUAGGAUGAAACAUUGAGGCUUUUAUGCAAAUAGCCAAACCCCACCUUGCCAAAUACUGCAUAUACUUGUUAUGUCUGCUAUAACCCUUUGGUGAACUUGCCAAUACAUUCAAUGUAUUGACCCCCUAGUGGCUGCAAUGUUUAAAUGUUGCAGGUGAUCCAGGUGAAGAGUGAGGUACGAAUUGUUAGGGUUGCGAGUUUACAUUCCAACAUGUUUCGACUGUGGAGUUGUUAUGGGACUCCUGUAUCUUCUACCUUCCGCUGCAAGAUUUUAUUUUCGCUUGAGCUAACCCAUGAGGUUAUGCAAUAUGUAAGGUACUAUUUAUUUCUGGAUCAAUGCGAUGUAAUAUACUUUUGGCCUUUGUAUCUUGAUAUUACAUCUUGAAACUGUGUGUGCUAUCGAGUCGAUCCAGGGACUAGCAUUGUAAGCAAAGACAUCGAACCUUGUAAGAGGGAGGAUCGCUUAAGAUGGUACAGAGCAUCGUGUUGCCUGUAGGUUCGUGACCCUUAGAUUGGAAUUAACUUAUUAGGUACCUAUUUACCAAACUAAAAUUAUUUUUGAAAACUUUCAUAUUCUAUCCUCGUCCAGUUCUUUCACUCCCUCAUCCAGCUUUGAAGGUUUUCAAACAUCGAAACCAUCAUACUUAGUCACGGUAGACGUAAUUUGUGAGUUGUCACUUUUGGAUUUAUUGAUGGCCACAAAUAAUAAUAGUAAAUUAUUUUGGAUAACAAAAACAUGGUUCGUUUGCUUUUGAAACUUCUUUUCUUGGUCUCGGAUGCUUGAACUAUGUCAUUUGCUUGUUGGAUCUUACUUGGUUGGUGAUUGUUAUGCCUUACUUGCUUGCUGUUGGGUUAAGGUUCUUCUAGACCCCAUCUAUCUAUCCUCUCAUCUAUGCUAUCCUAAACAGAUGCCUCCAAGACGUACCCCCAACAACAAUAGAUCACACACCAGCAGCAACAGUGACGACCAUGAGGAAAGGAGCAACAGUUCAGUUAAUGUGCAGUCUCUGCUGGCAGCUCAGACUCAAUUUUUCCAGUUGAUAACCCAGCAGAUGACCAGCCACCAGAAUAUUGACCAGAGUAACCAACACCCCAACCCACGACCACAGGUGGAUAUGCUUAUAGGAUUUCUGAAGUUGCACCCACCUACUUUCACCAGCUCCACUGAACCCAUAGUGAACAAGAACUUAGUGACUGUGGGCUGCACAGACGCUGAGAAAGUGAGGUUUGUAGCACACUUGUUGGAAGGACCAGCCGCAUUAUGGUGGGAGAACUACCUGAUCACCAAACCGAUUGAGGAUGUUACUUGGGAGAUGUUCCAGGGUGCUUUCCACACCGCCCAUAUCUCCGCGGGAAUGCUAAGCCUGAGGAAGAAGGAGUUCCACAAACUGAAGCAAGGAACCCGCACCAUGAUGGAAUAUAUUGAGGAAUUCAACAAGCUGUCUCGCUAUGCACCUGAUGAAGUCAUUACCGAUGCCAAACGACGUGAGAAGUUUUUGGAUGGACUGAACGACGAGCUUUCCGUUCAGCUGGCAGUUUCUUACACCCCCACCUAUCAAUCCCUGGUAGACAAGGCCUUUAUCUUGGAAGACAAGAUAAACCAGAUUGAGGGCCGCAAGAGAAGACAUUGCCAUGGAAGCAUUAACACUAGACCACACCAGAAGCCGUGCACCUCUUAUGAGGGUAGUGGUAGUUCAUCAAGGAUCAAACAUCAAAGCCACCACCACCACCAUAUCCAUGGAGGGAAUGGCCACCAUGAGCACUAUCAUGGGAAUGGACGCCGACACCAGCACAAGAGCAAUGACCAUGGUAGUGGAAACAACAACGAGCAGAAUCAGAAUGACGACUUCACCCAGUUUGACCUGAGUCAAGUGGAAUGUUUCAAGUACCACAAGAUGGGGCACUACUCGAACGAUUGCCCGGAGAGGUUCGAAGGAAAUGGAGUCAAUCCCACCCCAUUCCUGGAAGGUCAUGUGAACCAGGUCAGUGUGGAAGAAAUCACAAAGCCGGGCAUAGUGAUUGGAUCAUUCCGCGUAAAUUCUUUCCAAGCACUCGUACUCUUUGACACGGGUGCAUCACAUUCGUUCAUAUCAAGGAUGUUUGUGAAGGAGAAUAAGAUACCUACAAACACCCUAAGGAACCCUAUGAGAGUGAGUUCGCCUGGAGGGCAAAUGGUAGCGACUCAAGGAUGCCGCCAGUUACCCCUAGAGAUUGGGAACCACACUUUUCCCUCUGACCUUAUGGUGUUAGAUUCCCGAGGUCUAGACAUAAUUCUGGGAAUGGACUGGAUGACCAUAUAUGAAGGACUGGUAGACUGCACCAGGAGAACUAUUACACUCACAACCCUUGAGAAGAAGCGAAUCCGCUUCAAGUCCACUAUGGAACUUAAGAGACCUAAGGUAAUUUCUCUUAAGGGGGUUAGCAUGGAGGAUGUAGCCAUAGUGAACGAGUAUCCAGAUGUUUUCCUCGAGGAGUUACCAGGCAUGCCACCAGACCGAGAUGUAGAGUUUCUCAUUGAAUUGAUGCCUGGAAGUGGACCCAUAGCCAAGAGACCUUAUAAGAUGGCUGUGGAUGAGUUGAAGAAAUUGAAGAAGCAACUAGCUGAACAGUUAGCGAAAGGUUUCAUCCGCCCCAGCUCAUCACCCUGGGGAGCACCCGUGCUAUUUGUAGAAAAGAAGAACAAGAGCCAACGGAUGUGCAUCGACUAUCGUUCACUAAAUGAGGUGACGAUAAAGAAUAAAUAUCCUUUGCCCAUAAUCAAUGAUCUUUUCGAUCAAUUGAAGGGAGCUCGAGUGUUAUCAAAGAUCGAUCCGCGAUCAGGGUAUUUUCAGCUGAAGAUCCGAGAGAUGGACAUUCCCAAAACAGCUUUCACCACUAGGUAUGGACUGUAUGAGUACACGGUAAUGCCUUUUGGAUUGACCAAUGCACCUGCAUACUUCAUGAACAUGAUGAACAAGGCGUUCAUGGAAUUCUUGGACAAGUUUGUCGUAGUAUUCAUCGAUGACAUCUUGAUUUAUUCCAAGAGCAAGGAGGAGCAUGAGCAGCAUCUGCGCAUGAUCUUGGAGAAGCUGAGAGUGCACAAGCUGUACGCCAAAUUCAGCAAGUGUGACUUUUGGUUGUCAGAAGUUAGCUUCCUUGGACACAUUGUGUCAGGAGCCGGAGUAGCUGUUGGCCCAGCUAAGGUUGCAGCAGUUACAGAAUGGGAGGCACCGAAGAACGUCGGAGAAGUCCGCAGUUUCCUUGGACUUGCUGGAUAUUAUCGAAGGUUCAUGGAAAAGUUCUCCAAGAUAGCAAAACCCAUGACCGAGCUCUUAAAGAAAGAGAAGUUUACCUGGAAUGAGAACUGUGAAGAAAGCUUCCAGGAAUUGAAGAAAAGAUUAGUGUCUGCACCCAUCCUUGUUUUGCAUGACCUGCAGGAGGAUUUUCAACUAUACUUUGACACCUCACAUCAAGGAUUGGGAGGAGUCUUAAUGCAGAAUGGAAAAGUUGUAGCGUACGCUUCGCGACAACUAAAGAGCCACGAAGGCAACUAUUCCACUCAUGACUUGGAAUUAGCAUCGGUAGUGCACGCCCUGAAGACUUGGAGACACUACCUGAUGGGAAAACACUGUGAGUUGUUGACCGAUCACAAGAGCUUGAAGUACAUAUUCACCCAGAAGGAGUUGAAUCUGAGGCAGAGAAGAUGGUUAGACCUGAUAAAGGAUUACAAUCUGAACUUACAAUACCAUCCAGGCAAGGCUAAUGUAGUAGCCGACGCUUUGAGCCGCAAGGGCUAUGUGAAUGGACUGACAGCUGGAGAAUUGCCACCAGAACUGUGCGAACAGUUCAAAGACCUCAGACUGGAAAUAGUACCGGAAGGUUAUUUGGCCACUUUGGAAGUACAACCCACGUUGAUGGACCGGAUUAGAAAAGCACAGAAGGGUGAUUCGGAAAUAAAGGAAAUAAAAGAGAAUAUGCUUAUCGGAAAGGCCAAAGAUUUUCGAGAAGACGACUAGGGUACCAUAUGGUUCGGAAAACGCAUUUGCGUACCGCAGGAUUCGGAAGUCAGAAAGUUGAUAAUGCAAGAAGCCCACGACUCACCAUACUCAAUCCACCUUGGGAACACGAAAAUGUACAUGGAUUUAAGGGAAACAUUUUGGUGGUCCGGAUUAAAGCGAGACAUCGCCGAGUUCAUUGCCUUGUGCGAUGUGUGCAGCAGAGUUAAAGCCCAACACCAAAAACCAGCAGGAUUGCUAAGACCACUGCCAAUACCAGACUGGAAGUGGGAUAAAGUUGGCAUGGACUUUAUCACCGGGUUACCAAGGACCAAAUCAGGGUAUGAUUCCAUUCGGUUAGUUGUUAACCGUUUGACCAAGGUUGCCCACUUCAUACCAGUAAAGACCACAUGCAGCAGCGCACAGUUAGCAAAAUGCUACAUAUCUAAAAUCGUGUGUUUACACGGGAUACCCAAGGAAAUAGUUUCAGACAGAGGUAUCCAAUUUACCUCACGAUUUUGGGGACAGCUACAUGAGUCUCUGGGAACGAGACUAGAGUUCAGCAUAGCUUUUCAUCCGCAGACGGAUGGACAAACCGAAAGAAGUGUCACCCGGAGAUGGCCGACACACCGUUGAGGGACACGAUUCCGCUUGAGGAAGUCCAGAUACAGAGUGACCUCACCUAUGAGGAGAAACUGGUCAGGAUUUUGGAUACCGCUGAGAGACAUACCCGAUCCAAGACCAUCAAGUUUUGCAAAGUUCAAUGGAACCAUCAGACAGAAGAGGAAGCCACUUGGAAACGCGAAGAUGACCUUCGAGAAGACCACCCGCACCUCUUUGCUAGCCAAACCGAAUCUCGAGGACGAGAUUCAUCUUAAGAGGGUUAGGUCUGUAACAUUCUGAAAUUUCAAAACCUUUCAUAUGCAUUGCAUUCAUGAGCAUCAUGCCACAAUUGCAUAUUUGAAUUCAAAUUUGAAUCUCAAAAGGAUUUAAAAAAGUUUUAUUUCAUUUUAAACCCUAGGGUUUUCACCCAUUUGAGCUUUGGAUCUUCAAACCAAUAAUGUUUAACUACAAAAGGGGUUUAUUGCAUAAAUAAGCUAUCCCAUAAUUUUUGGAUAUUUAUUUGGAGUUGAAAAAGUAUUUUAUUUAAAUAGUUAUAUAGCCCUAAAGGCAUUUAUAGGGCAAAUGUAUUUUUAAAUAUUUUAUUUUGAGGGGGAAUUGCUCCCAAAAGUUGAAUCAUGAUAAAACAUGAUUUUACAAAUUUUCUAGAAUUUAUUUGGAUCAAUUUUGAAGCGACCGCCCCCGUAUACGGGUUCGAUCUCUGUGCUUUAGUGCUAGUCCCUGGAUCGACUCACUAGCACACACAGUUUCAAGAUGUAAUAUCAUAGAACAAAGGUCUCAAUAUUACAACGUAUCAUCCAGAAUAUAAAAGGGUACUUACAACUCGCAUAACCUCACGGGUUAGCUAGAAAUAAAACAACUGUUUAGCAGCGGAAAACGGAAGAUACAAGGGCACAUCAACACCACGGUGAGAGCGUGUUGGAAUGUAAGCCCGUAACCCAAACAUGCAGAACGUACAUCUUACUCGUCGUCGAAGCUUCCUGCAUCAUUAAACGAUGCAGCCACUAGGGUCAAUACAUUGAAUGUAUUGGCAAGAUUCACUAGGAGUUAUACCAGAGCCUACCAAGUAUAUGCAUAAUGUGGCAAAGUGGGGUACAAGGCUAUUUGCAUAAAAGCUUAGUUAUUGAAUCCUAUCUUUUAAUCAAAUAGAAUUUUAUCACUAUUGGACACGGGGUAGACACACCCAUGCUCCUAUUAUCCUAGAGCACAUUGAUGUGGAUUCAUCAAGUGCCCCUACCCUGUUCAACCAUCCAUUUUAUUUAAGAAGUUAGAAUGAGUGAGACUUUCCUUACAGCUCCAUAUCUAGUCGCUCAAAUUGUCCGUUGCCGGGGACACGGCUAAGUACUUAGUUUUGACGCUCUCGAGAGUUUGUACACAUUCCCCACAAGAAACCGACGUGUUAAUCAGUUGCUGUCCUCAGGGUAGAGUAGCAACGGCAUCGAUUACGAGAUUUUCAGAGGUAAUUCCCUAAACCACGAGAGAAUCACGCUCCCCCUACACGGCUACCUCAGUACAAUUCCUCGGGUCUAGGUUCAUACAACUUACUCUUGUCUCGCCAGAGCCCAUAUAGCAUUGUGGUUGUACUAGAAGCUUCUAAAUAGAAAACUAGUCCAGUCUCGGUUACCCAAGGCGGCAUUCCACAUUUGCAACGUAGGCGCUUCCCGAAUCCACGGGAGAGACGUCCAUGGACGAUCCAUUCCUGAAUCCAGAGGAACUCGACUCAGAGGGACCCAUAGAAAUGGACCUGACGCCGCUAAUCCUCAAAAUCUUCAAAGCUGCCCACCCAGGACGGUUCAUUAAAUUAAUUGUUUUGCCUUACUUCUAACAAAACAUUUCAUAUCGCCAAAGGCAUAACAAUAUCAUAAUGUAGUUAUUUCCCCCACAAUACUACCAUAGCCUAGCAUUCAACUACAAUCGAUGGCAAUUUGGUAGCAAGGUAAUGGCAAGGGUAAACUAGACUACUUGGGAUUUAUAGCUAGCAUAGAAGUACGAGUAAUAUUCCUGACGCAACUAAUAAAACAUCUAGUGCAUAGUAAAAUAUUUAGGAGAAUGAUCAAAGUGAACUUGCCUUGUCCAAGGUUGUGGUAGUUCUCGCACUCUUCGCAACCACAAUGAUUACACUCCACACAAUCUAAAAUAAAAGGAACACACACAAUAAACACAACACUCAAUACAAAAACCAUGCCAUGAUGCAUAUGCUAUGCUGAUGCACACAAAGGUUACUUCUAACGUACAAAGUUUUGUUUCUGUUUUGAAAAGGCUCUCAAAAGAUUUGGACAGAUUAUACAACAUCAAAGUGGUAAUUAAUAUGCAUGAUACAUGAAUACGGUUUAAAACAAAAAAUUGUGCGGCUUUUGCAACAUAGAGCAUUAUUUAACUUGUAUGCCAUGAUUAUACACAAAAUAAUUUUUUCUCUGGUCCUAAUGGAUAGAGAACAACUUUAAAUAAUUUUACAGCAAAAUAACAUGCUCAAAACUAUUUUGAAACAAUUCAUUUGAAAUUUGAACCAUAUUCAACCAUUCUGUAAAUAGCUACUGUCUAAGCUGUUCAAAACUGAAAAUAAACAGUGCGAAAAUAUUCUACACGUUGUGACGAUUCCAGAAAGGUGUGGAUCGUAAAUUUUGGACAAACGGUUUAAAAGAUAUGGGGUUUUGAAGUUGUAGGGGCUUUUCUGCAAAAUUACAUUAUCCAAUUCGGCCGAAUUAAAAUAAAAUAAAAUAAAACAAAAUCUCGCCACGUGGCGAAACCUGACUGGCCCGGUUCUAGGAUUCCGGCCGGCGGACGAGCUCGCCGGCGGCGGCGCGGGCAGGCAGCGCAGGACGCGGCGGGUGGCGUGUGGGCGGAGCGGGGGGGCGCAGGCGGCGGCGCGGGCACGGACGGCGCGCGGAGGGCGGCGGGCGGCGGCGGCGCACGGGCGCGGGGCAGAGCGCGGGCGCGGGCUCGGGCGGCGGGAGCGCGGGCGCGGGCAGGCGGCGCGAGCGGGCGCGCGGGCGCGCGGCGAGCUGCAGGGGCGGCGGCCGGCGCCGGAGAAGACGGCGGCGGGGCGGCGCGCGGAGCGCCAAAUCGGAAACGGCUCACGUCAUGGCGUUCGGGACGGGGAGAGGAGAGAGGCUAGGGGAGUGGCGCGGGCGGAAGCUCACCGGAACGACGGCAAAACGCGAAGAACGACGACGUCCGUGAAGAACUUCGGCGAGAAAUUAAAUCCUAACCGAUGCGAAAUUGGGCGAGCAGUUUGGGGGAAUUGGUAGAGGAGUUCGGGGGCUUCGAUAUGACGCGCGGGGUUUCGGAUUUGGUGGUUCGUGCGCGAAGAAAUCGGAACGGAAACGAGGGUGACUCGGAGUCGUUCGUGGCCGGGCUUCUCGGGCAGACGGUUGGAGAAGAAGACGAGCGCGGGUCCCACCGGUCAGUGAGAGCGGGCCGGCCGGUUCGGGAUGGGCCGGUCCGGUUCGGUCCGGUCUGGUCCGGUUUGACCGGUUCGGUCCGGUUUGACCGGUUUCCUCCGGUUUUUCCUUUUCUUUUAACUAUUUUCUAUUUUUGAACCUCAAAAUUGAUUCGAAGCUCCAAAUCACUCCAAAUAAAAUACAACAAAAUUUGUAAAAUCAUAUUUUCAUAUGAUCAAACUUUUGGAACAAGAAUUUCCUCAAAAUAAAAUAUGUAAAAAUACAUUUGCCUAUAAAAUGGCUUUUAGGGCCCUUAGGUUAUCAAAACAAAUUAUUUUUCAAAAUACUUUCAAAAGCCAAUUAUGGGAUAGCUCUAUAUAUGCAUUAAAUCCCUUUUUACCACGAUACCCUAUUGGGUUAAAAUACAAAUACUCAAGAGCAAGAUCAACGACCAAAAUCAAAUAAAGGCGUUUCUGUAGAAGGGUUUUCUGGGCAAAAUCUUGGGUUUACAAGGUGUUCAAAUGCAAGGGUGACAUGAUGCUUAUGAUAUGCAAUGCAUAUGAAGAAUUUUGAAAAAUUGGGAUGUUACAAAUUUGGAGUUCAAAAUCAAAAGUUAUCAAAGAAAAAUAGAAAAGGAAAAAAAGAAAGGGAAAAGAAAAAAAAGAGAAAACCGGACCCGCCCGGCCAUUUUGGGCCGAACCGGCCCCGUCCCGACCGCGCGCGAACCGAUCGAGCCGGCCCAGCAACACGCGCGCCCGCCGCGAGUCACUGACAGGCGGGGCCCGCCUGUCAGGGUCUUCUUCCCCACAGGGAAAGCGCUUGCGAAUCCCGCCGUCGCUGACUCCGCACGCCGUCGCCGCCGUGACGCCCGCCCGCUGAUUCCGUGCUUCCCGAAGCGAGCCGAGCGCGCCCCUAUAAAGCCCACGCCCGCGCCGUUCUUUUCCCCCUGCUCUCUCUCUCGCUUGCGCCCCCAGGCUGCCUGAAUUGCUCGCCGGAGUAGCUCGCCGCCGCCGCCCAUUUUUGGUCACCGCCGACGACACGGUAUGGCAUCGUCCUUCCCUCCUUUUGCUUUCGGUUCCCCUCACUCUCGCGCACCCCCUGACGCGCCCCUUUUUUCUUUUCGCGCACCGUAGUACUCGCCGACGGGAACCCAAAGCUCCGCCGCCGGCCGCCGCCUCUUCGUCGUCCUAGGCAAGCAUCCUGUCGCCCUUGAGCCUCGCCGACCCCGUCAUCGACUCCGUCUCGCGCGACGCCGUAAUGCCCUGCGCCACCGUUGUCCGAGCCCGCGCCACUCGGUGGAACCCUAGACGUUGCCGGAGGUAAGGCAGACGCCUCCCGACUGUCGGAUCUCGUCCGACGGCUAGGAUUAGAUCUUCUUUUUGAACCAGUAUGGGUAGAUCUGGACCGCCCGUGUUAAGUUAAUGAGAUGCGAAUAGCCAAACCACCACCUUGCUAAAUACUGCAUAUACUUGUUAGGUCUGCUAUAACCCUUUGGUGAACUUGACAAUACAUUCAAUGUAUUGACCCCCUAGUGGCUGCAAUGUUUAAAUGUUGCAGGUGAUCCAGGUGAAGACUGAGGUACGAAUUGUUACGGUUGCGAGUUUACAUUCCAACAUGUUUCGACUGUGGAGUUGUUAUGGGACUCUUGUAUCUUCUGCCUUCCACUGCAAGAUUUUAUUUUCGCUUGAGCUAACCCAUGAGGUUAUGCAAUAUGUAAGGUACUAUUUAUUUCUGGAUCAAUGCGAUGUAAUAUAAUUUUGACCUUUGUAUCUUGAUAUUACAUCUUGAAACUAUGUGUGCUAGCGAGUCGAUCUAGGGACUAGCACUAUAAGCACAGAGAUCGAACCCUGUAAGGGGGAGGAUCGCUUCAGUUUUAUACUAAAUAGUAGGUUAUAUUUGCUUAAACAUGAAUGAGAAUGCCAUGAACAGGUUCAGUAGGUCUUGGUGAUCAAAAUGCAUAUAAGGUUCACCAAUUUUGGAAUCAGGAAACAACUUGUAUGAAUUAAACAAGUUUCAAAUGGAUUUAGAAAUCUUGGUUCAACUCCUUCAAUACCAUAUCCAAGAUGUUCCAUCUUUGCAUUUAUUGCGAUUCUUUCUCAACUACAAUUCGAAUUGGAAUAGUUUUAUUACUUCAAUCAAAUCUUUUUUUCUUUUAAAAAAAGAAAAUAAAAGACUAUUUCGAUUCCUAUAUAACUCUUAUGUAUCAGAAUAUGAGUUUUUUUUGUUGUUUCUUCGUAAACAAUCUUCUUGCUUACCAUUAGCAUCUUCUGGAGGAUUUUUGGAACGAAUCCACUUUUCUAGGAAGAUGGAACAUUUUGGGAUAAUGGACCCUGGUUUUUUUCGGAAAACCUUAUGGUUCUUUAUGGAUCCUCUUAUGCAUUAUGUUCGAUAUCAAGGAAAGGCAAUUCUUGCAUCAAAAGGAACUCUUUUUUUGAAAAAGAAAUGGAAAUGGUACCUUGUCAAUUUCUGCCAAUAUUCUUUUUCUUUUUGGACUCAACCGCGAAGGAUCCAUCUAAACCAAUUGGCAAACUCUUGCUUCGAUUUUUUGGGGUACCUUUCAAGUGUACCAAAAGGUCCUUUGUUAGUAAGGAAUCAAAUGCUGGAGAAUUCUUUUCUAAUAGAUACUCGAAUGAUAAAAUUCGAUACCAUAGUCCCCGCUACUCUCCUCAUAGGAUCUUUAUCAAAAGCUCAAUUUUGUACUAGAUCGGGGCAUCCUAUUAGUAAACCCAUUUGGACAGAGUUAUCUGAUUGGGAUAUUCUUGAUCGAUUUGGUCAGAUAUGUAAAAAUCUUUUUCAUUAUCAUAGUGGAUCUUCCAAAAAACGGACUUUGUAUCGACUAAAGUAUAUACUUUGACUUUCAUGCGCUAGAACUUUAGCUCGUAAACAUAAAAGCACGGUACAAACUUUUAUGCAACGAUUGGGCUCGGUAUUUUUAGAAGAAUUUUUUACGGAAGAAGACCAAGUUUUUUCUUUGAUGUUCACCAAAACAACCCUUUUUUUAUUUCCGUGGAUCGCAUAGUGAGCGUAUUUGGUAUUUGGAUAUUAUCCGUAUCAACGGCCUGGUGAAUCCUCGUAAUUAAUUAUUAGACAAAACUAAUAAACAGGAAAGGGUCGAUGAAUGAUCAAGAUAAAACUUUCAUAUUUUUGCAUUCUGAAAUGUUCUUCAUAAUUUUAGUAUAACUCUUUGUAAUAGAAAUGAGCCAUUUCCACAUAGGGAAAGUCGUGUGCAAUGAAAAAUGCAAGCACGGUUUGGGGAGGGAUUUUUCUCUAUUGUAACAAGGAAGAAUUAUCUAGUCCAUCCGACUAGUUCCAGGUUCGAGUCCGGGGCAACCCAUAUGGAAAAUUGAAAAGAGGAAUCUGAGUUUUUAAUUUUGACUCACUUCAUUUACAAAUUUUUUUGGUUUGGUUAAUUUAGUUAUAUGGAUAUCCAAUCUUUGGGCUGACUUAGUUGACAUUGGUAUAUAGUCUAUGUUAUACUGUUAAAUAACAAGCCUUCUAUUAUCUAUAUUAUUUCUAGUUAAUAUGUGUGCUUGGGAGUCCUUGCAAUUUGAAUAAACCAAGAUCUUACCAUGACUGCAAUUUUAGAGAGACGCGAAAGUACAAGCCUGUGGGGUCGCUUCUGCAACUGGAUAACUAGCACUGAAAAUCGUCUUUACAUCGGAUGGUUCGGUGUUUUGAUGAUCCCUACCUUAUUGACCGCAACUUCUGUAUUUAUUAUCGCCUUCAUCGCAGCCCCUCCAAUAGAUAUUGAUGGUAUUCGCGAGCCUAUUUCUGGUUCUUUACUUUAUGGAAACAAUAUUAUCUCUGGUGCUAUUAUUCCUACUUCUGCGGCAAUCGGAUUGCACUUGUACCCAAUUUGGGAAGCUGCAUCCAUUGAUGAAUGGUUAUACAAUGGUGGUCCUUAUGAGCUAAUUGUUCUACACUUCUUACUUGGUGUAGCUUGUUAUAUGGGUCGUGAGUGGGAACUUAGUUUCCGUUUGGGUAUGCGCCCUUGGAUUGCUGUUGCAUAUUCAGCUCCUGUUGCAGCUGCGACUGUUGUUUUCUUGAUUUACCCUAUUGGUCAAGGAAGCUUCUCUGAUGGUAUGCCUUUAGGAAUAUCUGGUACUUUCAACUUUAUGAUUGUAUUCCAGGCAGAGCACAACAUCCUUAUGCAUCCAUUUCACAUGUUAGGUGUAGCUGGUGUUUUUGGCGGUUCCCUAUUCAGUGCUAUGCAUGGUUCCUUGGUAACCUCUAGUUUGAUCAGGGAAACUACUGAAAAUGAAUCUGCUAAUGAGGGUUACAAAUUUGGUCAAGAGGAAGAGACUUAUAAUAUUGUGGCUGCUCAUGGUUAUUUUGGCCGAUUAAUCUUCCAAUAUGCUAGUUUCAACAACUCUCGUUCUUUACACUUCUUCUUGGCUGCUUGGCCUGUAGUAGGAAUCUGGUUCACUGCUUUAGGUAUUAGUACUAUGGCGUUCAACCUAAAUGGAUUCAAUUUCAACCAAUCUGUAGUUGAUAGUCAAGGUCGCGUUAUUAAUACUUGGGCUGAUAUCAUCAACCGUGCUAAUCUUGGUAUGGAAGUAAUGCACGAACGUAAUGCUCACAACUUCCCUCUAGAUCUAGCUGCUCUUGAAGUUCCCGCUAUUAAUGGAUAAGGUUUUUCCGCUAACAUAUAAGAAUUUUUGAAGAAAAGAAAGCGAGAAAUACCCAAUAUCUUGUUAUACCAACAAAUUGGGUAUUUCUUUACUUUGCAUCUUUUUUUUAUUCUGAAUCUUUCUAUUCUGAAUUUAGUUAACGACGAGAUUUAGUAUCCUUUCUUGCAUUUUCAUAACUCGUGAAAUGCCGAGUAGGUACGAAUUCCCCCAAUUUGUGACCUACCAUAGGAUUUGUUAUGUAAAUAGGUAUAUGUUCCUUUCCAUUAUGAAUCGCGAUUGUAUGGCCAACCAUUGUGGGUAGAAUGCUAGAUGCCCGGGACCACGUUACUAUUGUUUCUUUCUCCUCCUUCAUAUUGACCUUUUCUAUUUUUGCCAAUAAAUGAUGAGCUACAAAAGGAUUCGUUUUUUUUCGUGUCACAGCUGAUUACUCCUUUCUUUUUCCUUUUUAAAGAGCGGCAAUUUAUGUCCAAUAUCUCUAUCGAAGUAUGGAGGUCAGAAUAAAUAGAAUAAUGAUGAAUGGAAAAAAGAGAAAAAUCCUGUAGCUGGAUAAGGGGCGGAUGUAGCCAAGUGGAUCAAGGCAGUGGAUUGUGAAUCCACCAUGCGCGGGUUCAAUUCCCGUCGCUCGCCAUCGCAUUAUUGCAAAUGCAAAAAAUGCAAUUUUCCAUAUUCCUAGUUACGUAUUUACUUACGGCGACGAAGAAUAAAACUAUCGCUAUAUUUUUUCCUUUUCCUAGUUCUUCUUCCAAGCGCAGGAUAACCCUAAGGGGUUGUGAGUUUUUUUCUACCAAUGGGGGCUUUCCCUUCACCGCCCCCAUGGGGGUGGUCCACAGGGUUCAUAACUACCCCUCUUACUAUGGGGCGUUUACCUAGCCAACACUUAGAUCCGGCUCUACCCAAACUUUUUUGGUUCACCCCAACAUUACCCACUUGUCCGACUGUUGCUAAGCAUACGGCUUUGUAGAUGUAUAUGACGAUCUCUAGACAGAUGGAUCUUAUAUAAAUCAUAUGAUGAAGUAGCACAUGAGUGGAUAUAUAGGAAAGGAAUCCAAAUCUGCUGAAUCGCUCAUGUUAGGAUCUUCUACAUCCUAGGUCUCUGCGUUCCGUCAUCUGGCUUAUGUUCUUCAUGUAGCAUUCAGAUAGAAUGACUCUAUGAAAUUACGUUGAUACUUCCACAUAUUAUGGGUAAAGUAGGAGACAUCCCUUUUUUCCCCGGGGGUCUUAAUUACCACUGCUUAGCUUUCAAUUCGCCUCUGACCAUCAAAUUAAAUGUGAAUAACCCGUCCUACUCUCUUUGAAACAAGGGGCGCUUCCGGUUCUGUGCGUGCUUCAAACAAUUUUGUCUUCUCCAUAUUACCAUAUCUCUAGAGUCAAUAAUUUUCUAUGAGGAACUACUGAACUCAAUCACUUGCUGCCGUUACUCAACAGUUUUCUGUUAAGGUCUAUCCCGUAGAGGUAGUCAAAUUGGAUCAGUGAUCGAUUUCUAGGUUUCAUCGUAAACCUAAUUGGUUACUUCCAAUUACGUAAAUCAAUAGUUCAAACCGCACUCAAAGGUAGGGCAUUUCCCAUUGAUAUAGGAACUUUUGUACCAGAAACAAUAGUAUCUCCAAUUAUAGCCCCUCUGGGAUGUAAAAUAUAUCUCUUCUCACCAUCCCCAUAGUGUAUGAGACAAAUGUAUGCAUUUCGAUUAGGGUCGUAUUCUAUGGUUACGAUUCUACCAGAUAUGUCCUUUUGUUCCGUCAAAAAUCGAUUUUACGGUAUAGGCGUUUAUGACCUCCCCCUCUAUGCCUCGCGGUAAUGAUUCCUCUGGAAUUACGACCUUUACCACAACGGUGCCGUCCAUGGAUCAAAUUAUUUCGUGGAUUGGAUUUCACUUGCCUGUCUACGGUUCCCUUGCGUGUACUCGAGAUAGGUGUUUUGUAUAAAUGUUUCACCGUAUUAUUAAGUAUUCUCCUUUAGUUUUUUUUCUCUAUCUAGAAGUGGAAUAGAAUAACCCGGUUGAAGGGUAAUGAUCAUACGUCUGUAAUGCAUUGUAUGUCCCAGAAUAGGUCCUAUUCUUCUACCCUUUCCGGGUAGUCGAUGGCUAUUCACAGCUACUACCUUAACACCAAAGAAGAGUUCGACCCAAUGCUUUAUUUCUGUCUUAGUGAAUCCUG